rnacentral:lncRNA from 1 species
UAUACGUGGGCUCAAGAAAUAUCAUGUAUAGGGGCCUUCGCACCCCACACACACAGUAGUAUAUCAUGUUCUUUCACAUGUUUUACCAUUAAAACAAAUCAUUUAGUUCGAUCGAUCACAAGCCCCUAAUGCUGAACAGCAAAGCGACUAAACAUGCAAUAAAUCACAAAACUUCAAUUUAUUAUUACACACCAAAGGCGCACACCAGUUUAACUGAAGAACGAUACUAAAAACUCAGUCUGAUAGGUGGAUCAUCAAAGGAGAAUCAAGGCAUCCAAAAGCAAGGCCAACAUAGGAGUGGUGCACCAUGCCAGGGACAUAGCCAGUCGAGGAAAUUCAGCCGGUGAUCCUCAGAAGAACCCCCGUACGAUGCCACCCCCACGCUGCACGGUAGGCUUCACCUGCCACCUACUCCAUGACUUAUGCUCCUAGCGUCAACACCCUUUGAUUUCCCUCCUUUUAUCUGCAAAAUUGCCAAAUUUGUUAGGCAUUGACAUAUCAACCUGAUAAGCAUAAUUAGAACAUUUAUUAGCUUCUUUUUCCAAAAACAACAACCGGUUUUGCAUCUCCAAUUUGUCCAAAAGAUAGCAGCGACACCAACUAACACCCGUUUUUGGGUUACAUCAUGUUGGUUUUUUUUAAUCCAUCCACUAAAGCACAUAUCAGAUUAGCAUGAUUGAUCCCAAAUUUAAAUCAUAUUUAAGAAAACCCCACACUAGUUUAUCCACUGAACAUCUGAAGAAAAAGUGUUUAUUCCUCUCAUCUUGACCACAAAACACACAAUUUUUGGGAUCUAUCCAGCCACUUUUCAAUAAAUUAUCUCUAGUUAAUAUGUUAUUUUUGACCAUCAACCAAAGAAAGACUUUGAUUUUUGGUGAAAUUUUAGUUUUUAUUAAAACAAUUGUGGCAAACCACAAUAUUGAACAACAAGGUGUCUAUAAAGUGAUUUGACUGUAAAAAGACCAUAUGCAAUUAACAUACACUUAAUAGAAUCCUUGUUGUGAGACAUCAUAUUCCAUCACAUCUCAUUUUGAGGCUAUCCCAAAGAUCUAGAGCAUCACCUGACAAAGUUCUUCUAAAUCUAAAACCCUCCCAACUUCUCUAAAAGGCAUCAGCUGCAGUAAUAUUGUGAUCAGAACUCAAAUUAUACAGUAUGGCAUAAGAGAUUUUAAGGGGUUUAAAAUCUACCAACAGUCUUCCCAAAAUCUAGCAUUCAUUACCCACUUUUUUACAAUAUUGGUACAAUAAGUAUUUAAUUUUCAUGAUACUGGACCAAAAAUGGGAGUUCCCAGUCUUAGGUUUAGUUCCAAAAAGGCAACCAUUCUGAACAUGCUUGUUCAGGAGAAUCAUGUGCCAAAUACCAUUUUUAGUUUCUACCAUAACUAUUUAGCCGACAAGUUUUGUUCAUGAGUUCAAGAUUUAAAAUCCCUAAACCCCCUUGAUCUUUAGGUCUAAAUCAAGUGUUCUAGUUUACUAAGUGUUAUUUUUUCUUAUUGCCAUCUCCCUGCCAAACAAACCUAGCCAUGAAGAAAUUGGCUCUUUUCUUCACAUCAACUGGGAUGGGGUAGAAAAACAUCAUACAUAAGUUGAAUCUCCCCCUCUAUUGUUAAAUCUUCUCUCAUAGUUGUUAAAUCUCCCCCCUUUUGUUGAAACUACCUUACGCUCCUGCACCACUGCAAGCCCUAGCCAUCCCUUCUUGCUCACCAGGUAGCGUCGCCGGAGAAGUAAAGCCUUACCACACAUCGCUUGCACGCCCACCAAAUUCCCUUAGGGUGCGGACCAAAGCAUCUAAAUACCCAAAGGCAGCAGAAGACACAUUCUCCUUAAGUGUUUUCCUAUCCCACCAACCUGGACCUCUUGAUCAAAAACAUCCAGUCCAACCGCCCAGGGCCAACUACAGAAGGUUCAAUGGGUAAAGGCCAAAACCUUAAAACUCACCCCUCCUUUCUCAAUAUUUAUCAUCACAACAUCAAUGUAAUCUAAGAAAUCCACCCCCAAAACAAGCUAUCCUUUGUACAAUUGGCAAGGAUAGCUGGAAAAUUACCAAUUCUUGUAGCCUUUUUUACUAGAUUUCCACCAGUAACAUCUAAUUCCAAUUAAUGACUAUAUCAUCACAAAUUUGAUAUUGUGGGUAUCAACAUCAGGAAGAUCCAAGGAGAAAUCAUCCUCAUAACAGUAUUACAAUCAAAAUCAAUGACAUGAUCAACUUCCAUCGGAAAAUCCACCGAAGACUUUUCGGAGUAUGCAACUAAGAUCUCCUAACCCUAUUUCUCGUAACUACACCCCCAACUGUUAGUUUGUACAUGAGGAUGUAAAUAUUUGUAGAGAUCAACAAUCUUACUAGAAAAUGAAGCAGCAAAACGAUUGUAGGAGUCCUCGACUCCUCCCCAGCAGCAGCCAUAAUUGACUGCCUGCCAGGAAGACGCCUACUCGUCGGCGGCGCUCUGUGCAAGCGCCUGGAUCCGUGCAGAACGCCGGGGGAACCGCGGGGAGCGACGAGGCAACUGUGAAACCACCCGCGCCACAUUUUGCCUCGGCACCACCCGCACAUCAUCGUCGGUCACGACAGGCAUCACCGGACAGUGUGGCGGUGACCUUGUCGUCGUGGUCACCACCCGCACACCAUCCCAGACCAGAUUGGACGAAACCCAAUCUUGUGACGCGUAGCGGUACCACCGCGCGCGCUGCACUGGAUCGUUUGAUUCCGCCUCCAUCAUUGCCCAAUAGAGGAUCUCGAGCGGGGCCUUCCCUGAGAUCCAACUUUGUUCCUCCUCAGAGGCCUCUUCAACCACCCGACGUGAUUCCUGAUGCAUCUCCUCUGCAUCCCUGAACCGCCCACAGAUCUCGCGAAGCCUCGCCAUCUUCGCCUCGUCGCUACCCGCGAUUGCCGCCGCCAUGAGAUCCCCCCACGCCAAAGGCCCUUCCAUCACCGAGAUCUGAGACGGAGGUUGGAGGAAGAGAAGAAGGGGAUCGUAGACACCCUCGUGCCUUGCGUGUAGAUUUAAUGCUUGCCAAAGUCAUAGGUAUUCAUUUCCCACAUCACGGGUUCCUCGAGAUUAGUGUGGGAUCAACGUCGUUGAUUUUUUGGAAAUUAUUAUGUCCUGGAUCUUGAGAAAUCAUCUAUUAGGGGCCAUCCUAUCAAGAUCCCAAUGCCCAAGUUGUACUCCACUAAAACUAGAAUUGGCAUCCGUCCAUCCACGGAACGAGCACAAGCCAACAAGAUUACACCAAACGUGACGCUGCAUCAGUUUCAGUUUCAUAGAAACGCUGCCAUGGGAAAGCAAAGAAAUUGUUGGUAAAAUGAGGCAAGGACAGCGUGGUAAACGAUGUCUAGUCUAGGCCCUGUCUACCACCCGCCGCACCGCAAAUGCACCAUCCAGCACCCAACAUGUGUCCUAGCCGCCGAAUGGGUCAGACUAACAGUCACCUUACAAGCCGACCCCACUCGCAGCCACACCCAACACGCCCUUAUUAACCCCGUGGACACCAGAACCAAUUCGAUCAUCUCCCCGUCGUCAACCUUGCCGCAUACGUCCCUCCGCUCCGCGUAAUAAGAAGUUAAAAACCCAUGCCUCCAGACAUUUUCCCAGUUCGUCCACCGGCAUCACCGCGUUGAGCCCUAGCCACGCAUGGAGCUGUUCACGCACGCCAAGGAAAUUCUCCUUCCAGUUUGUACCUGUACGACAACCACUAACCUCUUUUCGUCGAGCUUUUCACUGCCCAAGUUCUCUAUUUAUAACCUGAAUUGUGGGUAGGCUUUCCACCACCAUCACCAUGACCAUGCUUAUAUAAACCGCGAUGGCGGAUGUAGACAAGGAUGGAUGGAUGGUCAGGUGCCUAGCUAUAUUUCUUCUAUGCAAUGUGUUGUGUGAUAUUGUGUUUCAGUCAUGGCAUGUUUUGAUCCUGCACAUGCUUUUGGCACUGAGAUGUUGCCAUCAUUCGUGUUUCUUGUGGGUUUGGGUUUGGAUGUUCAUGUAAGGAGGUUUGGCAUGCCAUGUUACGCCUUUCAUUCUUUUUACAGAAGAUUGCAUGUUUUCCUUGCGUAUAGGAGGUUUUUCUGGUUCAUGUGGUUUUCUUAGUGCUUCGUUUGCGCGGCGCACUUGAGCAAGUUCCAGCUAUGGAAAUGAUAGCAAUGAUUGAUGAGGAGACGAGGUAGUUGUACACAUAUAUAGUUGCCAACACUGUUUUUAUCUCAAUUUGGCCUGCCUUUAUGGGGUCGGUGGCAUUCAACGCUGAUGUUUUAGUCCAUGAUUGGAUUGGACAUGUUGCGUGCUACAAACCGUCCUUAGCCUUGGGCCCAUAUAUACUCCUGAUGUAAGUGAAAGAUAAGUUGUCAAUAGCUAGCUAGUGCUCCCUCGGUCCCAAAAUAAGUGACUCAAUUUUGUACUAAUUUAAGUCUGUUCUGACGUUAAUUAUAGAAGCAUGACUUUGGCCUGGAUUGUGUCGAUGCGAUGCAAUGCAAUUUCCUGGAUGCCAAUUGUUUGGUGGAACCACGAUUUCAGUCUUGACGUACGUACAUGACCCGUGACGCAUUGUCCGGCCAAACUUCUAGAUGCAAUACACGUAAACAAGAGGAAGAAGUUGACCUCCGCGUCCUGGUGCUGGAGAACAAAACGACCCAGAGAUGCAGCAUCCUUCAUGUGGAAAAUUGAUCUUUCUCAAAAAAAAAAAAGAAGUGGAAAGCUGAUCCUGGCACGCACGGGUCUCUCUCGGUGACAAACGCUUGCAUUGUUGUACUCCCUCCGUCCGAAAAUACUUGUAUCCAUUUUAAUGACAAGUAUUUUCAGACGGAGGGAGUAUGUAUUUAGGCGACGACGGAAGCCGCGCCACGAAAGGAAGUUAAGUGAUCACGCACCACCAAAACUAGAGUUUUCGCAUCUGACAGUCACGCCCACCUAAAAUGGCACCCUUUGUCAGCGUUGCACUCUUCGCACGUAUUCUUAAUCGUGAAGCUUCUCGUAGGAACAAGCAAGUAAAUGGAUCGAUGGAGAAAUUUUGUUGUCUGUCAAGUACCUCGGCAGUCAGCUAGGAGUACUUAAGCAGGAGUGGCCGUUUGAAUCAAUCAGGUGGCGGAAGAUACGUACUUACUCCCCUUCCGGAGAAAGACCGGGAUAAGUGCACACAGUAACAAAAGUCGUGUGGGACGUCCCACGCAACCGCACGCCCGGAAAAGUUGGAUCGCUCGAGGCGAUCAGGGAGGCGACUAGGGGGCCUUGCGCGCCGCCGGUGACGCCGCCGGUUCCCUCUCUCCGUUGGCCGCUCCGGCGACGGGAGGGAGGGAAACCUCGGGUCUGUUCACUAGGUGGGUGUGUGGUAGGGUUAGGGUUGAGGAAAAUGCUGCCGAGGUCGUUGCGGUGGUGUCGCGUCGGAAUAAGUUUCUCCGGGCUUCGUUCGCGGUCAGGCGAGGCUUUUGCCUUCGUCUAGAAGCCAGCGGUGUUGGGGAUCCCCGGAUCUCGUCGAGGUCGCGGGCUAUGGUGGUUGGAGGUCCAUCGGCACUGGCCGUUUGGAUCCUCAGAUGGGCGAUGGAGGUAGGGAGACGAAGACCUUUCUUCUUCCUUGUUGGUACGAUUUGCUGCUGCUGUUCUUCUCCUUCCUCUGCGCUGAUGCUGGUGGGAGAUCCUGCUUUGCCCGGGCGGAUGGCCCGGCCGCGGUGCUGGACCGGUCGGAUGACUCGAGUUCUCUUCCUUCCGAAAGGGACACUUCUCGCGGUACUCAAAGCCAAAGAUGGCGACGGCUGUUGCAAGUGUGUUGGAUUGAGGUCCAUGCCCUCUCAACGCUGGUGUCAAGAAAGGAGGAAGCAGCGUGGCGGCAAUUGUACCGUGGUCGAAGAUGAUGACCUGUUUGCGACUGGUUGCAGAUCCUUCUGCUGCAGGGGUCUUCUCUCAAGAUUCAGGGAUGAUGACACAGGGCUCUGGAGAUCUUCUUGUUUUAUGGUUGUCUUAGGGUACUCUAGGUGUUCAUGGUCCUUUGUUUUUGCGUUUCGGUGUGCUUGUAAGGGUCACCUACUCUGUACUGAUUCGUGAUUUGAAUGAACAAUUUCUAAAAAAAAGUCGUGUGGGGUGCGACACGCGGUUGAGUGCACGGCGUAGGAAUGAAAUGAUGGUUGGCACAAGACCGCACCGGGCCAUGCUGCCUGUUCGUGGUCGGCAACUCGGCAUGGGCACGUCCAGGUCAACCGACCGACCGUAGCAGCAGCACAGCACACAGACAGAGCUACGAACGAGAUCCUUGAUGGCUUCCUGUCGCGUCAGCACCCACUGGUACUCAUCGUCGACCGACCGACCGUAGCAGCAGCACAGCACGCGCUUGUAGCGUUGGCUGGCGGUUCCAUCCCUCGAUUGCACUUCUACAGUGUGCGGGUCAUUCCGUGCUCUGCUCUGUCCAGGGCCUGCGCCCACCGCACGUGCUCGUCACAGAGUACAGUAUCACAGGAUUCCCAGUAUUCCAUUCUACGGUCUCGUCGAAUAUUUCCGAGCUACUGUAUGCGGGCUCAAGAAAUAGCAGCACGUAUAGGUACGGGGGCAUUCGCACCACACACAGUAGUAUGGCAUGUUCUUCCACAUGUUUUACCAUUAUAAAAUAAAUCAUUUAGUUCGAUCGAUCACGAGCCCCUCAUACCGCGAAUAAACAGGCAACAAAUCAACAAACUCCAACUUAUUAUUACACACCAAAGUCGCACAACAGUUUAACCGAAGAACGGUGAUAAAACUCAGUCUGAUAGAUGAAUCAUCAAAGAAGAAUCAACGCAUCCAUAAGCAAGGCCGACAUAGGAGCUAUGCACAUGCCAGGGAUGUAGCCAGUCGAGGAAGUUCAGCCAGUGAUCUUCGAAACCCCCGGACGACACCACCCCUGCGAUGCAUUGUAUGCUUCACCCGCCACCCGCUCCAUGACUUUUGCUACCAGGGUCAACACCCUUUGAUUUCCCUCCUUUAUCUGCAAAAUUUCCCAGUUUGUAUCCACCGACAUAUCAACCCGAUAAGCAUAAUAGGGUCAUUUAUCAGCUUUCUUUCAUAAAAAAAAACUAUCAUUUCUGCUUCUCCAAAUUGUCCGAGAGAUAGUGGUAACACCAACUAACACUAGUUUUUCAGUUUCAUGUUGAAAACUUUUAAUCUAGUUACUAAAGCACAAACUCAAAUUAUAAGGAAUAGAUCUCAAAUGAAAAGCACAUUUAAACAAACCCCACACUAGUUUAGCCACCAAACUCCUAAAGAAUAACUACUUAGAGCUCUCAUCAUUUUUUGGGGACCGAUCUAGCCUCUUUUCAGCAGAUUGUCUCUAGUUAAUAUGCUAUUUUGACCAUCGACCAAAGGAAGACUUUCAUUUUUGGCGGAAUUAUGUUUCCACAAAAAGGUGGAAACGCAUAAUAUUGAAUAGCUUAUGGUUUUGAUAAUAAAAAGACUGUCUACAGUUGACAUACACUUAAUAGAAUCCUUGUUGUUAGGCACCACAAUUUCCUCACAUCCUUUUUUGAUGCUACCCCCAAGAGCUAGAGUAUUACCCCACGUACUUCUCAUAAAUCUAAAAUCCUCCCGGCCUUUCUGCAAGGCAUCAACUAUGAUAAUAUUGUGAUCAAAACUAAAAUUGUGCAAUCUAGCAUAAGAGAUUUUAAGAGAUUUAUCAUCCACCUACCUGUCUUCCCCAAAUCAAGUAUUUUUGCCAUUAUCCACUUUUUUUGCAAUGCUGGUAGAAUAUGUCUUUUUAUUUUCAUGAGGCUCGACUAAAAAAGGGAGUCCCCUGUCUUAGGUUUAGCUGCAGAAAAGCAACCAUUCCGAACAUGUUUGUUCGGGAGAACUGUUUGCUAGAGACCAUUUACAGUCUCUAACUUCCAUAACCAUUUAGCCAGUAUAGCAUUGUUCAUGAGGUCAAGAUAUCUAAUCCCUAGCCCCCCCUUGCUCUUUAGGUCUAAAGCCACUGGCCCAGUUUACUACGAGAUUUUUUUUUUCUUGUUGUCGUCUCAUGCUAAACAAACCUAGCCAUGAAGAAAUUGUCUCUUUUCUUCACACCAAUCGGGAUGGGGUAGAAAGACAUCAUAUAAGUUGAAUCCUCCCCUUAUGUUGUUAAAGAAUCGAGGACAAAUCAUCCCCAUCAACAAUAUUAUAAUCAAAAUCAGUGGCAUGAUCAACUUUCGCUGAAAAAUCCAGUGAAGAACUAUUUGAAGCAUGCAAAUCACAUCUUUAAACCCUAUUUCUUGCAGCUACAAAUCCCCACACCAUUACUUUGUAGAGGAGAAUGUAAAGAUUUGUUGAGACCGGCAAUCUUACUGGAAAACGAAGCAGAAAAACAGUCGCAGGAGUCCUCUUCGCCGAACUCCUCCCCCUAGCCAGCAGCCAGAAUCGACUGCCAGCCGGGAAGAUGCCUACCCAUCGGCGACGCUCUGUGCAAGUGACUGGAUCCGUGCAGAACGCCGGGGAAACCGAGGGGAGCGACGUGGCAGCUGUGAAACCACCUGGGCAACAUUUUGCCUCGGCAACACCCGCACGUCAUUGUCGGUCACGACGGGCAUCGCCGGACUGCGUGGCGGUGACCUCUCCGCCAUGGUCACCACCCGCACACUAUCCCAGAUUGGGUCGGACGAAACCCACUUGUACGGCAAGUAGCGGUACCACUGCUCGCGCCGCAUCGGAUCGCCGGACUCCGCCUCCAUCACCGCCCAAUAGAGGAUCUCGAGCGGGGCCUUCCCUGAGAUCCGACUCCGCUCCUCUUCCGAGGCCUGUUCAACCACCCGACGUGAUACUCGACGCAUCUCCUACGCAUCCCUGUAUCGCCGAUAGAUCUCACAGAGCCUCACCAUCUUUGCCUCAUCGCCGCCGCGAUGGGAUCCCCCCACACCCAAGGCCCUUCCAACCCCAUUGGCGCCAUGUUCUCCCCCCACGCCCAAGGCCCUUCCACCGCUCAGAUCUGAGAUGGAGAUCAGAGGGGAGAAGUAGGGGAUCGCCGAGACCCUCAUGCUUCCACGCGUGGAUUUAAUGUCUGCCAAAGUCAUAUGUAUUCAUUGCCCGCAUCGCGGUUUCCUUGAGAUCUGUGCGUGAUCGACGCCGUUGAUUUUUCUAGAAAUUAAUAUGUCAUAUAUCUCGAGAAAUCAUUUAUUAGGCGCCAUCCUACAAGAUCCCACUGCCCAAGUUCUACUCCACUAUAACCAGAAUUGGCAUCCGUCCAUCCGCGGGACGAGCACCACCCAACAAGAUUACACCAAACGUGAUGUAUCAGUUUCAGUAUCGCAGAAACGCUGACGUAGGAAGCGAAGAAACUGUUGGUAAAAUGAGGCACAAACAGUGUGGUAAAAGUGUCCGGUCCAGUCUGACACUCGCCGUGCCGCAAACGCACCAUCCAGCACCCGACAUGCGCCCCAGCCACCGAACGGGCCAGACCAAUAGUCAUCUUACAAGCCGACCCCACUCACAGCCUCACCCAACACCCCCUUAUUAACCGCACACACAGCCAGAACCAAUUCAAUCAUCAUCAACCUCACCGCGUACCUCCCUCCGCUCCUCGUCAUAAUAAGUUAACAACCCAUCCCUCCCAGACAUUUCCUCGGUCCAUCCACCGGCGCCGCCGCGCUGAUCCCCGACCAAGCAUGGAGCUUUUUGCGCACGUCGAGGGAAUUCUCCUUCCAGCUUGUACCAGUACGACAACGACUAACCUCUUUUCGUCGAGGUUUUCACUGCCCAAGUUUUCUAUUUAUAACCUGGAUGGUGAGCAGGCUUUCCACCACGAUGACCAUGACCAUGCUUAUAUGAACCGCAAUUUUAUUUUUUAAGAAAAGGAGGAUUACCCCGUCCUCUACGUCAGAGUGAUGCAUGUAGCCCCGACUAUAUGUACCGUAAUGGCGAAUGUAGACAAGUAUGGACGGAUGAAUGGAUGGAUGCUCGAGUGUUUUAUAUUUCUUCUAAGCAAUUUAUUGUGUUGUGUGAUAUCGUGUUUCAGCCGUGGCAUGUUUUUGUCCUGGGCAUGCUUUUCGCGCUGAGGUGUUGCCAUCAUUCAUGUCUCUUGUAGGUUUGGACUUGGACUAGAAGAAAAUGUGCGCCUUGCCGCGCCAUUUUCAUUGUUAUUGUAAAAUCAACUCAAUCUUUUUCUUUUGUUGUGUGUAGUUAUCGGACAGAACAUACAUGUGUUUCCUCGUGUAUCGUCGAAGUCAUGGAAUAUAAGAUUCUACCUAUUCACUAUAAGUUGAUACUAUUUUUUAUUUGGAUCGUAUAGAGUAAAUAUAUAAGAGGUGAAUAAAAAGUGAUUUUCUAUUGAAAUACAUCUUAUUCUCAUAUAAAGGUUGCAGUGCACCAGAUAUAUGAGUAAAGCAUUUCGAUGCUCGAGCUGACACUGAGCUCAGAAUCCUGGGCUUCCAUUCUGUCUUUGGGAUAUUGUUUUUUUGGGGGUUGUCAUUGGGAUAUGUUUUUUUUCUUAUGGUCGGUCAUUAGAAAAACCUUAUUUUCAUCCAAAUACAAAAUUGGAAUAUAUGAAUACUGCAGUACAGCCGUAUGGACCUACCACGUGAUAUUGACUACGUACAUGUGCCUGAGCUGAGGCCGAUAAGGGCAUGUACAAUGCAUAGCCUCAAGGUGAUGCCUCGCAUGCCAUGUAGGAUCGGAUAUGACGUAAAGUAGGUUCGGAUAGGGAAGCAGGAUCCUCUCCAGGAGAUGGGUGCUUGAAGAGAAAAAGCAUGGUCCGGUGACAAAAACUGAAAAGGUUGGAGUGAAAAGUAAAGAUGCAUGUGUACUAGAGUCUUUAUUUUUUAUUUCUUAAUGAGGCCCACUAGUGAUACCUUGCAUUGGAGAGGGAAAAUUAAUAUAGGUGCUUCAAAUUACUUUUUGCCAUGGGGCAUAUGUAUCCAUAUGCCACCAUUGUACAUGCUCAAAGAUGUGCGAAAUUAAAAAUAACAGCAGUCUCCCCGUGGAUGUUCUCUCUGAGCUCUCUCUCUCUUUCUCUCUCUCCUCACAGUCGUGGGUUACUUGUCGGCCUCCGGCGCACACGUUGGAGCAGGGGAGGACAUGCGUAAAUAAAGCUUGAGGCUUACGCGGUAAGUACACCCCUUUAACUGGAUGACAUGCUGGUCCCACAUCUCCAAUUGAACAAGGGAGCUCCAUUUUUUGGGGGCUUAGUAACUGUAAAGAUGCUCCUGUAAAAAGGUGGUGGUUUGCCUAGCCACGUUAUGCUUUCCUUCCAUUUUGUCUGAAAAGUUCCAUGUUUUCCUUACGUAUAGGAAGAUUCCCUCAUUCGUGUAUAUAGUUUUCUGCUUGGUUUGCGCGCACACUUGAGCAAAUUCCAGCUAUGGAAAAGAUAAGAAUGAUUGAUGAGAAGAUGAGGUAGUUGUACUUGUACAUGGAUAUAGUUUGCCAACAUUGUUUUAAUCUGAAUUUGGCCCGUCUUCAUGGGGGUGGUGGCAUUCGACGCUGAUGUUUUGUCCAUGAUUGAAUUGGACAUGUUGCGUGCUACUAACCGUCCUUGGGCCCCAUAUAUACUCCUCAUGGUAAUGGAAGACAAGUUGCCAUUGGCUAGCUAGUCCUUAUGAUUUAAGUGUGUUGUGAUGUUAAUUAUAGAGGCAUGACUUUUGACUGGAUUGUGUCGAUGCGACGCAGUGCAAUUCCCUGGAUUCCAAUUGUUUGGUGGAAGCACGAUUUCAGUCUUGACGUACGUACAUGUCUAGUGACGCAUCGCCCGGCCAAACUCUAAAUAAAAUAUACGUAGGCUAGAAACUCCCCGUUGAGAGAUGGACGGUUGAUGUGAAAAAUCGAUCUUUCUCAACAACAACAAACGCGUGCACUGUUGUAUUUAGGUGACGACGGAAGCCGCGCCAGAAAAGGAAGUUAAGUGGUCACGCAUGGAUCAUUCGACAUGCACCAUAAGUAGAGUUUUCACACCUGACAGUCACGCACACCUAAAAUGGCAUCCUUUGUGAGUGUUGCAUUCGUCUCACGCAUUCUUAAUCGUGAAGCUUCUCGCAGGAACAAACAAUUAAACAAGCAAGUAAAUGGAUAGAGAAAGUUUGUUGUCUGUCAAUUACCUCGGUAUUGAGCUAGGAGUACUUAAGAAGGAGUGACCAUUUCAAUCAAGCAGGUGGCAGGUGACUGAAUCUGACGCGGAUGUGCACGUACCACGAGCUUGAGUGCGCGGCAGCGGCAGCGGCUGCAUGUAUGCGACGAGGCCGGAUUCGGCACGAGUGAGUCGAGCCAUCGAUCGGAUGGAGUCCAGGUCAGACCAAAUCCUCUUCCCUUUCCUGCUGAGGCAGACGCGUCCUUCCGUGAGACAGCAGCGGCACAUACAUUUGGAGCUACGAUACGAUGAACAACCCGCGCCUGGUCGAUCAGCCUGGUCUGCACAGACAGUGACCAUGUCCUGUGGUAGGUGUCUCGAUCAUGCAACGAGCAACGGUUAGCGCUUGUCGAUCAUCACUCGACCUGAGCAGGAGUAGGAUGUUCACACUCCACUCCACGGUCGCAUGAAGAAAUCUAUGAUUUCCACUUUACCUUGCCAGUGUGACUAACCGUUGCUCUCGAUCCACCGCUCUACAAUGAGUACUAGUACUAUGUUCACACUCCACAGUCCAGUCGCAUUAGGAAGUUUCUCCUUUUAGCGUGCUGGUGUGCCCGGCCGUUGCACACAAUGGACGGACGCAUCUUCUCCUCUCUAUAUCAGCAGUAAGUAUAUAUACGUACUACUACGUACGAAGAUAUGAGUAUUAAUUAAUUGUAUGCGCACGGGCGGGCGUAUCCUUACUCAGCAAAGUUUUCUUCCCUUGGUUACGCGCGCUUAUGCGUACACAGGAGGACGGAAGCUUCUGGAUCGGGCGGGAAACGAGCCAAACCGGAGACCAAGACGAAACUGACGUUCCAUUGUAGGUGCGAAUGCGCGACACAAGGUAGAGUGCACAACGUGCGCUCACUGCGCGACAGCCGAAUUCCAAGAGACGAAUGAAUGAUGUUUGUUCGUGGUCGGCAUGCGCCGACGUCCAGGUCAAACCCAACUCGGCAUGCAUCGACGUCCAGGUCAAACCAAACUCGAUCUGUUCACUGAGAGCUACGAACGAGACCCCUGAUUGCUGCAGUAGUACUCAUCGUUACAAACUUACAAUCGAGAGGCAAAAGAUCUUCAGUACAAAGAGAUCUUGGUUGAGCCACACCCCUGACACAUUCCCUUCCUUACUACUAUAAUUUGUCAAACAAUCAAUCCUAUUUUGUUCACGCCCAAUAUUCUGAGGAAUAAACUCCCUGUCGAAACACAAAGCCUUUGUCUCCAAGCCAAGAUACCUAUAAGCAGAGCGGGAGAGAGCUUCAGCGGAGAACACUCCUAAUGCCUACGAGGAAUUGAACUAUACAAUGACUGGAAAGUCUGUAUGUUGAAUAGCAAAAGCCAUACCUUGCAUGAUGCAUGUAACUCACCUCCAGCGCCUCGUUGCAAUUAUAUAUAUAGCAAUAGGUUGAAGAUAGGACCGAACCAUCUUCUCUUCUCAGUAUCAUGCCUGCCGCAGUUGUGCCAUCUGCUGAAAAGAAGGAACCAUCAACCGAUAAUGCGACGUAGCCAGCCGGCGGCCGAGGCCAAUGUAGGCGUUGUGCAGGCGCAACACUCUCUUGGACGUGGACCAACUCACAUGCACGCAUCUUGCCUUUAACAAUUUAUUACUCCAGUCUAUACUUGUGAGAGUAAACAAGGGACUUCAAAAAGCUAUCAAGGAAUUCUAUUGUAGCCACCAUUCGAGGCUUCUCUUUGCCAUGACACAAGUCAUUCUGCAUCUGCCAAAUGCACCAAAUCAACAUAAUCACCAUGUCUCGCAUGGUUGCUAUGCAAUUCAUUAGAACAUUCAGCAGCCAAUUAGUCCCACUGUGGCACUGUCUACUAACAGUGUUAGAAUUAAUGGGCUAGGCCCAUAGCAAUUUCUGAAAUCUCAAAGCCCAUGUGUAAAAUGGCAAGUGGUGGUGCUAAGUUUAGUCCCACCUUGAAAGUUGAAGAAGAGUUGGACCUCUUUAUAUAGUGGGUUCUCUCCACCACUCUAAGUGGUGUGUGAGAAGAGAAAGGGAAAACCACACGCGCGCGCUCGCUCGCCUGGCUUGGCCUGGCCUGGCCAGCGCGUGAAUGGUCCGCCGAAAUCCGGUCCGUCUCCUUGCAGGAGCGCAGCUUCCUUUUGCCGUUUUAUUUUUAUGUCUUGGCAGACAAGUUUUUGAUUUCUUGUCCGGUAAGUAUACGAAUUAGAAACCGAGUCGGUUAGGGAUUGUGGUCAAUACCGCCUCUGGUCCUAAUAUAUAUACAGCUACCGGUUGCGGCCAGAGACACACCGAAAAACACCUAGGGUUUUGCCUCAUCUCACAACUUGCGCCGCCAUCGUAGUCUACUCCAUCCCAAACGCCGGCGUGCAUCGGCGCGUGGGAGAGCAGGUCUCCGGAACCGUUCGUCUUUGCGAUCCUGCACCGGGAGAGGACGAAUUAGGUUUUUGGGAAGCGCUGUGCGCGACUGCUCAAAUUCGUCAUCACGGGUCGUCUUCCGUCCAAGUCGGGCGGUGCUACUCAUCGUCGUAUUCAUCGCCGUCAGCAGCAGAUCGUCGCCAACAUCGCCAUCAACACUGUCGCACCCAUAAUAGCUGACGAUCAGUACGUCCAACAUCCUCUGUUCAUGUCUGUUUCUACAGCUAUUGUUACGUGUUUGCUGCUGUUAUGCAUGUCUUGCUGUUCUUCUAGUUUGCUAGAUUAUUGCAUGCUAGUAUCUCUUCUAGUCAUGAAUUAUUUACUGGAAUUAAUCAUGAACUUGCCUAAUAUUCCAACAAUCCAAAAACCUAAUUAUAGGCAAUUUCCUGAGUUAACUAUGGCUGGAUUCGCUGAUGCACUGAGGCUGGAUAAGUUUACCAGUGUGCACUUUAAGAGGUGGUAGGUGAAGACCACGCUCUGGCUUACUGCUCUGAAAGUUUUCCACGCUAGUGUUGGUGCUCCAGAGGGAAUGACCGACGAAGAUCGGAGAAAAUUCCAGGAAGCCAAUACUAUGUUUGUGGGAUGCAUUCUGAGUGUUCUUGCUGACCAUUUGUGUGAUGUGUACAUGCACAUAAACGACUGAAAAAUUCUGUGGGAUGCACUGAAUGCAAAAUUCGGUGCAACAGAUGCAGGCAGUGAACUGUACAUCAUGGAGAGUUUUCAUGACUACAAGAUGGUGAAUAACCGUUCUGUGGUUGAACAAGCUCAUGAGAUACAGUGCAUUGUGAAGGAACUUGAACUCCUUAAAUGUGUUCUACCCGACAAAUUCGUGGCUGGGUGCAUGAUUGCAAAGUUGCCUCCUUCAUGGAGGAAUUUCGCCACAACUCUGAAGCAUAAGAGACAGGAGAUAUCAGUUGAAAAUCUGAUUGCAUCUCUUGAUGUUGAAGAAAAAGCUCGGGCUAAAGAUACCACUGAAAAAGGAGGUGAGGUUCAGCCUACUGCUAACAUGGUGCAGAGGUACCCACAGAACAAGAACAAAGGGAAGAACAAACCUGUUUUCAACAAGCCUGCCAAGACUACUACCUUCAAGAAGAAGAAGUUCAACAAGGCUGAGCUAGAGUGCUACGCCUGUGGGAAGCCUGGACACUUUUCCAAGGAAUGCCCUGAACGUGCAGACCGCAGAGGGAAAACAAGCUCCAAGACUGUCAACAUGGUGACCGCUAGCAAUACUGAUGGGUAUGGUAAUUUACCUAUUGUGCUUUCAGUAUUUCAAUCAUCUUCGUGGUGGAUUGAUUCGGGUGCUAACGUUCAUGUGUGUGCUGACAUCUCCCUGUUUACUUCUUAUCAGGUCGCAAGGGAUUCUUCCGUCCUAAUGGGGAAUGGGUCACAUGCUUCUGUUCGUGGCAUUGGCACGGUGGAUCUGAAGUUUACUUCGGGAAAGAUCGUGCAACUAAGGAACGUGCAGCAUGUCCCUACUAUGAACAAGAAUCUAGUUAGCGGCUCCCUUCUAUGUCGAGAUGGAUUUAAGGUAGUUUUAGAGUCCAAUAAAGUAAUUGUGUCAAGAUUUGGACAAUUUAUAGGAAAAGGCUAUGAGUGCGGAGGCUUGUUCGCUUUUCUCUUUCAGAUUUUUGCAAUAAGUCAAUAAACCAAAUUUGUGCUAGUGUUAAUGAUGAUGCAAGUAUUUGGCACUCUCGUUUAUGUCAUAUUAAUUUUGGUUUAAUGUCUCGGCUAUCCAGCUGAGUUUAAUUCCGAACUUCACAGUUGCCAAAGGUUCUAAGUGCCAUAGUUGUGUGCAAUCUAAGCAACCUCGAAAGCCUCAUGCCGAGGAGAGAAACUUGGCACCUCUAGAACUCAUACAUUCUGAUCUUUGUGAGAUGAAUGGUGUGUUGACAAAAGGUGGAAAGAGAUAUUUCAUGACUUUGAUUGAUGAUGCGACUAGAUUUUGCUAUGUUUAUUUGUUGCAAACUAAAGAUGAAGCAUUAGACUACUUUAAAAUCUAUAAAGCUGAAGUUGAAAAUCAACUAGAGAGAAAGAUCAAGCGUCUUAGGUCCGAUCGUGGUGGAGAGUAUUUUCUAGAAGUUUUUGAUGAAUUUUGUGAGGAACAUGGUAUUAUUCAUGAGAGGACGCCUCCCUAUUCACCUCAAUCAAAUGGAGUGGCCGAGAGGAAAAACCGCACAUUGACUGACUUGGUGAAUGCCAUGUUAGACACUGCUGGUUUAUCUAAGGCAUGGUGGGGGGGAGGCUCUAUUGACUUCAUGUCAUGUCCUGAAUAGAGUUCCCAACAAUAAUAAAGAGAAAACCCCUUAUGAGGAGUGGGUUGGGAGAAAACCAUCACUUUCUUAUUUGCGCACUUGGGGAUGUUUGGCAAAGGUCAAUAUUCCUAUUCCUAAGAAACGCAAACUUGGACCAAAGACAGUGGAUUGUGUCUUUCUAGGGUAUGCUCAACGGAGCAUUGCUUAUAGGUUUUUAGUGGUAAAAUCUGAAGUACCUGAUAUGCAUGUUGAUACUAUAAUGGAAUCUCGUGAUGCAACAUUUUUUGAGAACAUAUUUCCUAUGAAAGAUAUGCAUAGCAUUGCUAGAUUUUCUUCUGAGAUAAUUCCUGAAUCUAGUACAACUGAUGAAUAUUUCGAACAAUCACAUGAGGAAGUCCUUGAGAAGGAUAACAAUGAAGUUCCUAGAAGGAACAAGAGACAAAGGAUUGCAAAAUCCUUUGGUGAUGAUUUCAUUGUAUACCUUGUGGACGACACACCCAAGACGAUUGCAGAAGCAUAUGCAUCUCCGGAUGUAGAUGAUUGGAAAGAAGCUGUUCAUAAUGAGAUGGACUCAAUUCUUUCUAAUGGAACUUGGGAACUAACUGAUAGACCAUAUGGUUGUAAACCUGUGGGCUGUAAGUGGGUGUUCAAAAAGAAGCUAAAGCCUGAUGGUACUAUUGAUAAGUACAAGACAUGGCUAGUGGCCAAGGGCUACACUCAGAAAGAAGGCGAAGAUUACUUUGACACCUAUUUACCCGUUGCUAGAAUGACCACCAUUCGAGUGUUACUUUCCUUGGCUGCCUCUUAUGGUCUUAUCAUUCAUCAAAUGGAUGUAAAGACAGCUUUUCUCAAUGGAGAGUUGGAAGAGGAGAUCUAUAUGGAUCAGCCUGACGGGUUUGUGGUAAAGAGUGAAGAGAGAAAGGUGUGCAAGUUGUUAAAAUCUUUGUAUGGUCUGAAACAGGCACCUAAGCAAUGGCAUGAGAAGUUUGAAAGAACUUUGACUUCUGCAGGAUUUGUCAUUAACAAGGCUGAUAGGUGUGUUUACUAUCGCCAUGGUGGGGGCAAUAGUGUCAUAUUAUGUUUGUAUGUGGACGACAUACUGAUCUUUGGUACAAACAUUAAUGCAAUUAAUGAGGUCAAGUCUUUUCUAUCAAAAAGUUUUGACAUGAAAGAUCUGGGAGAAGCCGAUGUAAUUCUAAACAUCAAACUUAUUAAGGAUGAGAGUGGGAUUACAUUAACGCAAUCUCACUAUGUUGAGAAGGUCUUGAACCGAUUCGGUUUUAUGGAUAGCAAGCCUUCUCCAACACCUUAUGAUCCCAGCGUGACACUCAGAAAGAACAAGAAAGAAACGAGAGAUCAAUUAAGAUACUCUCAAAUUGUCGGUUCACUCAUGUACUUAGCUAGCGCUACAAGACCAGAUAUCUCUUUUGCUGUGAGCAAACUGAGUAGGUUCAUGUCCAACCCGGGUGAUGAUCAUUGGCAUGCACUAGAAAGGGUCUUGCGCUAUCUGAGAGGUACUAUGAGUUACGGAAUUACUUAUUCAGGGCAUCCUGCUAUGCUAGAAGGAUAUAGUGAUUCAAAUUGGAUCUCCGAUGUUGAUGUACUUUACGCAACAAGUGGGUAUGUAUUUACUCAUGGUGGUGGCGCAGUGUCAUGGAGGUCUUGCAAGCAAACCAUAUUGAGGAGGUCAACUAUGGAAGCAGAAUUAACUGCUUUGGACACAGCUACUGUUGAGGCAGAAUGGCUGCGUGAGCUCUUGAUGGACUUGCCGGUUGUUGAAAAACCUGUACCGGCUAUUCUUAUGAAUUGUGAUAACCAAACGGUUAUCGCUAAAGUGAACAAUUCUAAAGAUAAUGCAAAGUCAUCAAGACACGUGAAAAGACAUUUGAAGUCUAUCAGGAAGUUGAGAAACUCCGGAGUAAUAACUGUUACGUAUAUACAAACAGACAAAAACCUGGCAGAUCCCUUUACAAAGGGACUAUCACGAAAUGUGAUAGAUAUUGCAUCAAGGGAGAUGGGUAUGAGACCCAUAGAUGUUACACCAUAGUAGUAACCCAACCUUUGUGAUCGGAGAUCCCGUGAAUUAGGAUCUGGGAAGAACAAGCUAUUGGUUAACUGAGGAGAGUAAUAACUUAUGAUCGUCUCCAAGUGAAGAUGCAAAACUCUCAGAGCUGAUAAGGCAGGUCGGCAACAUGCCUUAAUGUGGUUCUAUUGGCUAUAAUUAGCAAAGAUGCUGUCCUACGGAGCAGUCUUGAAAGAACACACCUAUAUGAGUUCUGACUGUAAACGUCGCAGUCUAUGAGAUUUGGAUGAUCUCUAGUAAACUCACGAAGAGACCAGGGAGUAUGACGUAUAAGCUCCAAACUGCGGGGUAGCCUACUGGCGGUCAGGUACUGGUUAAGACUUUGAGUGAAACCUGUUCACACAAAACUAGCAAUUCAAGACAUAGUCCAUUGUCAAGUUGUGAAUGGAUGUAGCUUAAAGUUCUAGGCAGAAGUUCAACUUAACAGUCUCUGCUAAAACACUGGUAUAUUAAACAAGUGGUGAGAGAAGGAAAAUCUCUAAGUGGGUAUUUGAGAUCUGGUGGGGGAUUGUUAGAAUUAAUGGGCUAGGCCCAUAGCAAUUUCUGAAAUCUCAAAGCCCAUGUGUAAAAUGGCAAGUGGUGGUGCUAAGUUUAGUCCCACCUUGGAAGUUGAAGAAGAGUUGGACCUCUUUAUAUAGUGGGUUCUCUCCACCACUCUAAGUGGUGUGUGAGAAGAGAAAGGGAAAACCACACGCGCGCGCUCGCUCGCCUCGCCUGGCCUGGCCUGGCGUGGCGAGGCGAGGCGAGGCGUACAUGCGACAUGCGCGUGAAUGGUCCGCCGAAAUCCGGUCCGUCUCCUUGCAGGAGCGCAGCUUCCUUUUGCCGUUUUAUUUUUAUGACUUGGCAGACAAGUUUUUGAUUUCUUGUCCAGUAAGUAUACGAAUUAGAAACCGAGUCGGUUUGGGAUUGUGGUCGUGACACAAUACCGCCUCUGGUCCUAAUAUAUAUACAGCUACCGGCUGCGGCCAGAGACACACCAAAAAACACCUAGGGUUUUGCCUCAUCUCACAACUUGCGCCGCCAUCGUAGUCUACUCCAUCCCAAACGCCGGCGUGCAUCGGCGCGUGGGAGAGCAGGUCUCCGGAACCGUUCGUCUUUGCGAUCCUGCACCGGGAGAGGACGAAUUAGGUUUUUGGGAAGCGCUGUGCGCGACUGCUCAAAUUCGUCAUCACGGGUUGUCUUCCGUCCAAGUCGGGCGGUGCUACUCAUCGUCGUAUUCAUCGCCGUUAGCAGCAGAUCGUCGCCAACAUCGCCAUCAACACUGUCGCACCCAUAAUAGCUAACGAUCAGUACGUCCAACAUCCUCUGUUCAUGUCUGUUUCUACAGCUAUUGUUACGUGUUUGCUGCUGUUAUGCAUGUCUUGCUGUUCUUCUAGUUUGCUAGAUUAUUGCAUGCUAGUAUCUCUUCUAGUCAUGAAUUAUUUACUGGAAUUAAUCAUGAACUUGCCUAAUAUUCCAACAAACAGUACAUCACGGGGCAAGGGCCAUAUAGCGCGCAUGUGCUCCCGAAUAUUUCGAGCAUGGCUGCAGGAAACCAAUGCAUGGAAUGAAUUUUCAUCUUCGAUACCGCACAGCGUACAUGUUUGAUAACCCAUAAGUAUAGGAAUUAAUUAUAGACUUUUUCGAUAAGUAAGAGUGUUGAACCCAAUGAGGAGCUAAAGCUAGAAUUAAUAUUCUCAAGUUCUAUCGACCACCGAUACAACUCUACACACACUUAACGUUUGCUUUACCUAGAAUAAUAAUAAAAAUACUUUACAGGUGUAAUAGGAUAAGUUUGCAAGAAUAAAACUAGAAGCAUUUAGCGGGUAAUAAAAGUUAGUUUGUUUUAGUAGAGAGUAUUUUGUAACACAAAGAGAAAGAUUGUCCAUAGGGAAUUGAAUAUAACACGAUAGAUACUUAUCAUACGCAAUGAGGGAGAGGCAUGAGCUAACAUACUUUACCUACUCGGAUCACAUGUUCUUAUGAUUCUAACUCUAGCAAGCAUCUGCAACUACUAAAAAUCAUUAAGGUAAAACCCAACCAUAGCAUUAAGUAACAAAUCCUCUUUACUCUCAUACGCAACAACCCCCUUAUUCGGGUUUAAGCUUCUGUCACUCACACAACCCACUAUAAGUGAAUCAUGAACGUAUUGCAACAUCCUACAAUGGUAAUCUCACACGAUUACGCGACACGGAGGGCAUCAUAGGACAGCACCAUAUUGACAUACAGCUCACAUCAAUCGCACCAUACAACAAUUAACCCGUAGGACAAAAGAAAUCUACUCAAACAUUAUAUGAUUGCCACACAUCAUUGGACAAUAACAUAUAGCAUUCAGCACCAUAUUCAAGUAGAGAAUUACAGCGGGAAUAGAGGGGUUACACCGCUGCAUAGAGGGGGAGAGGAUUUGUGAUGACGGCGACGAAGUUAUUGAUGUAGAUCACCGUCACGAUGGUUUCCCCAGUGGCGCUCUGGCGCCACCGGAAGAAGGGGGAGACCCCCCCUUCUGCUUACUUAGCCUCCCCCUAGAUGGCAGGAGGGAUUUCCCUCUGGUCCAUGGCCGCCGUGGCUCCCAGUGGGCAGGAGCCCCUCCGAGAUUGGGUCUCUCUCUGUGUUUCUCUUCUAAUUUUUGUUUGUUUAUGGAUGCCUUCACCGUUUUUUAUAUUCCCGGAGAUCCGUUACUCCGAUUGGGCUGAAAUUUAAGGGGAUUUUUGUUAGGAAAUUGUCUUUCUUUCAACGAAAGAAGGGCUCGAACCGAUGUACGAGGGAGUCACAAGGCAACACGGCGCGCCCUAUGGAUCCCUCAGGUAUCGUCUUGCGUUGAUUCCUCUUCCCAAUCCUUCAAACUAUGCAUAAGUGCUUGUAGCGAGUCUGCUACGUAGGAGGACAGUGGUAUCUCUAGCCCACUAGGGUUCAAGUCCAGAUAAUCGCAUUUGUCAUGGAUUUAUUCAGGAUUUCUGGUGAUGCGCGUUCAGUGGGAGGAGACGUUCUCAUUGACUACGAGGCGUCUACGAUGACUUCGUAAAAUCUCAAGAUGAUAUGCAGGUCAGUCUCCCGGAUGUGCUCAUAAGGAUAGGAUGUGUGUUUGUGCGUUCAUAGGGGUGAGUGUAUGCGCGUAUAUAUGAGUGCUUAUGUCUGUACUGUGUUAAAACAAGUACUUAUCGCCGACCGACUAUAGCAGUACCACAACACGCGCUCGUAGCGCUGACGGUUCAAUCUGUCGAUUGUACAAUGUGCGGGUCAUUCCGUGCUCAAGUCUGCAUAGAUCGCACAUGCUCGUCACACAGUACAGUACCAUAGGAUCCACAUCGCGGUUUCCCAGCAUUCCAAUUCUAUGGUCUCGUCGAUUAUUUCCUACUUUAUGUGUGAUCAAGAAAUAGCACGUACAGGGGCCUUCGCACCCAACACACACAGUAGUAUAGCAUGUUCUUUCACAUGUUUUACCAUUAAAAGAAAUCAUUUGGUUCGAUCGAUCACAAGCCCCUGCCGCUGAACAGCAAAGCGACUAACACAUGCAACAAAUCACCAAACUCCAAUUUAUUAUUAUACACCAAAGGCACACACAAGUUUAACCGAAGAACGAUACUAAAACCUCAGUCUGAUAGGUGGAUCACCAAAGGAGAAUCAACGCAUCCAGAAGUAAGGCCAACAUAGGAGAGGUGCACCACGCCAGGGACAUAGCCAGUCGAGGAAAUUCAGCCAGUGAUCCUCAGAAGAACACCGGACAACGCCACCCCCACGCUGCAUGGUAGGCUUCACAUGCCACCUACUCCAUGACUUUUGCUCCUAGCGUCAACACCCUUUGAUUUCCCUCCUUUUAUCUGCAAAAUUGCCCAAUCUGUUUGCCACUGACAUAUCAACCUGAUAAGCAUAAUUAGAACAUUUAUCAGCUUCUUUUUCCAAAAACAACAACCGUUUCUGCAUCUCAAUAUUGUCCAAAAGAUAGCAGCGACACCAAGUAACACCCGUUUUUUGGUUACAUCAUGUUGAUUUUUUUAAUCCAUCCACUAAAGCACAUAACUAGAUUAGCAGGAUGGAUCUCAAAUUUAAAGCAUAUUUAAGAAAAUCCCACACUAGUUUAUUUUGCUCUCAUCUUGACCAUAAAACACACAGUUUUUUGGGAUCUAUCCAGCCACUUUUCAAUAAAUAGUCUCUAGGUUAUGCUAUUUUGACCAUCAACCAAAGAAAGACUUUGAUUUUUGUUGGAAAUUUAUUGUUUCUUAAAAAAAUUGUGGCAAACCACAAUAUUGAACAACAAGGUGUCUAUAAAGUGAUUUGACUAUAAAAAGACCAUAUGCAAUUAACAGACACUUAAUAGCAUCCUUGUUGUGAGACAUCACAUUCCAUCAGAUCUCAUUUUGAGGCUAUCCCAAAGAGCUAGAGUAUCACCUCACAAAGUUCUUCUAAAUCUAAAACCCUCCCAACUUCUCUACAAGGCAUCAGCUGCAGUAAUAUAUAAUCAUAACUCAAAUUAUACAAUAUAGCAUAAGAGAUUUUAAGGGGUUUAUAAUCCACCGACAGUCUUCCCAAAAAUCUAGCAUUCUUGCCAUUACCCACUUUUUUUUAUAAUAUUGAUAGAAUGUGUAUUUAAUUUUCAUGAUACAAGACCAAAAAUGGGAGUCCCCAGUCUUAGGUUUAGUUCCAAAAAGGCAAGCAUUCCAAACAUGCUUGUUCAGGAGAAACAUUUGUCAAAUACCAUUUUUAGUUUCUACCAUAACUAUUUAGCAGACAAGUUUUGUUCAUGAGUUCAAGAUAUAAAAUCCCUAAAUCCCCUUAAUCUUUAGGUCUAAAUCAGGUUUUCCAGUUUAGCAAGUGUUAUUUUUCCUUAUUGUCAUUUCCCUGCCAAACAAACAUAGCCAUGAAGAAAUUGGAUCUUUUCUUCACAUCAACUGGGAUGGGGUAGAAAAACAUCAUACAUAAGUUUAAUCUCCCCCUCUAUUGUUAAAUCUUCUCUCGUAGUGAUAGUUGUUAAAUCUCCCCCCUUUUGUUGAGACUACCUUGCAUGCCUGCACCACCAUAAGACCAAGCCAUCCCUUCUUGUUCACCAGGUGGCGGCGGCGGAGCAGUAAAGCCUUACCACAUAUCACUUUCAUGCACACCAAAUUCUUUUAAGGGGCGGACCAAAGCAUCUAUAUACCCAAAGGUAGCAGAAGGCGCAUUCUCCUUAAGGGCUUUCCUAUCCCACCAACCUGGACCUCCUAGAUCAAAAACAUCCAGUCCAACCGCCCCCUACUACAGAAGAUUCUAUGGGUAAAGGCCAAAACCCUAAAACUCACCCCCUCCUUGCUCAAUAUUUAUCAUCACAACAUCAAUGUAAUAUAAGAAAUUCACCCCAAAAACAAGCACAUCCUUUGUACAAUUGGCAAGGAUAGCUGGAAAAUUACCAAUUCUUGUAGCCUUUUUGACUAGAUUUCCACCAGUAACAUCUAAAUUCCAUUUAAUCACUAUAUCAUCACAAAUUUUGAUAUUGUGGGUAUCAACAUCGGAAAGAUCCAAGGACAAAUAAUUCUCAUAACAGUAUUAUAUUCAAAAUCAUUGACAUGAUCAACUUCCAUCAAAAAAUCCACCGAAGACUUUUCGGAGGAUGCAACUAAGAUCUCCUAACCAUAUUUCUCACAACUAAAAUCCCCCCACUGUUAGUUUGUACAUGAGGAUGUAAAUAUUUGUAGAGAUCAAAAAUCUUACUGGAAAAUGAAGCAACAAAAUGAUCGUAGGAGUCCUCGACUCCUCCCCGGCAGCAGCCAUAAUUGACUGCCUGCCAGGAAGACGCCUACUCGCCGGCGGCGCUCUGUGCAAGCGCCAGGAUCCACACAGAUGCCCGGGGAACCAAGGGGAGUGACGAGGUAGCUGUGAAACCAUCUACGCCACAUUUUGCCUCGGCACCACCCGCACAUUGUCGUCGGUCACGACGAGCAUCACCGGACAGCGUGGCGGCGACCUAGUCAUCGUGGUCACCACACACACACACACCAUCCCAGACUGGAUUGGACGAAAUCCAGUCGUACGAAGCGUAGCGAUACCACCGCGUGCGCCGCACCGGAUCAUUGGAUUCUGCCUCGAUCAUUGCCCAAUAGAGGAUCUCGAGCGGGGCCUUCCCUUAGAUCCAACUUUGCUCCUCCUUCGAGGCAUCUUCAACCAACCGAUGUGAUUCCUGAUGCAUCUCCUCCGCAUCCCUAUACUGCCCACAGAUCUCGCGGUGCCUCGCCAUCUUCGCCUCGUCACUGCUCGUGAUUGCCGCUGCCAUGUGCUCCCUCCACGCCAAAGGCCCUUUGAACCGAGAUCUAAGACGGUGGUUGGAGGGGGAGAAGCAGGGGAUCACCGACACCCUCGUGCCUCGCGUGUAGAUUUAAUGCUUGCCAAAGUCGUAGGUAUUCAUUGCCCACAUCAGGGGUUCCUCGACAUCAGUGUGGGAUCAACGCCGUUGUUUUUUUGGAAAUUAUUAUAUUCUGGAUCUUGAGAAAUCAUCUAUUAGGGGCCAUCCUAUCAAGAUCCCAGUGCCCAAGUUAUACUCCACUAAAACUUGAAUUGGCAUCUGUCCAUCCACGGAACAAGCACAAGUCCAACAAGAUUACACCAAACGUGACGCUGUAUCACUUUCAGUUUCACACAAACGCUGUCGUGGGGAAGCGAAGAAAUUGUUGGUAAAAUGAGGCAAGGACACUGUGGUAAAGGAUGUCCGGUCCAGGUCUUGUCCGCCGCCCGCCGCACCGGAAACGCACCAUCCAGCACCCAACGUGUGCCCUAGCCGCCGAACGGGUCAGACCAACAGUCACCUUACAAGCCGACCCCACUCGUAGCCACACACAGCAUGCCCUUAUUAACCCCGUGCACACCAGAACCAAUUCGAUCAUCUCCUCAUCGUCAACCUCGCCGCGUACCUCCCUCCACUCAGUGUAAUAAAAAGUUAAAACCCAUCCCUCUAGACAUUUCCCCAGUCCAUCCACCGGCGCCACCGCAUUGAGCCCUGGCCACGCAUGGAGCUAUCCGUGCACACCAAGCAAAUUCUCCUUCCAGUUUGUACCUUUAUGACAGCAACUAACCUCUUUUCGUCGAGCUUUUCACUACUGAAGUUCUCUAUUUAUAACCUGAAUUAUGAGUAGACUUUCCACCACCAUCACCAUGACCAUGCUUAUAUAAACCACAAUGGCAGAUGUAGAGAAGGAUGGAUGGAUGGUCAGGUGCCUAGCUAUAUGCAUAAGUGCUCGCAGCGAGUCCGCUACGCAGGAGGACAGUGGUAUUGAGGGAGUCCUGUAUUCGGGGGUCCUCAGGUGUCCGGCCUAUUCGAUAUGGGCCGGGCUGAUGGGUCAUGAAGACGAAGCAGAAGACUGCCUCCCGUGUCCGUGUAGGACUCCUAUGUGCGUAGAACGGCAAGUUUGGUGUCCGGAUGUAAUACUCUUUGCCUCUGAACCGACUUUGUAUAACCCUAAGUCCCUUCGGUGUGUAUAUAAACCAGAGGAGUUUGUCCGCAGAGGGCAUCAGAAUAAUCAUAGGCUAUAUAGCUACGGUUUGGCCAUUACGAUCUUGAGGUAGAUCAACUCUUGUAACCCCUAUACUCAUCGAAUACAAUCAAGCAGGACGUAGAGUUUUACCUCCUUUGAGAGGGCCCGAACCUGGGUAAACACCAUGUCCCAUUGUCGCUUGUUACCAUUGAUCCUUAGACUCGCACCUUGGGCCCCCUUACCCGAGAUCUGCCGGUUUUGACACCGACAAUGGUGCUUUCAUUGAGAGCUCUGCUGUUUAAUGCCGCUCAUGACGAUACCAUUUGCCCGCUCUACCUGGCCGUUUGUUUGGGGAUGGUAGACGGAAGCGUAAUCAAGCUAAUACCCAUUUUUGUGCACCAAGUUUUCACUUCGUCGGCUGUGAAAUUUGAGCCAUUAUCAGUGAUGAUGCUGUGGGGGACACCGUAUCGGUGUAUGACCCCGGAUAUGAAGUCUAUUACUGGUCCGGAUUCGGCCGUUUUGACUGGUUUGGCUUCUAUCCAUUUGGUGAAUUUGUCCACCAUGACCAAUAAGUAUUUUUUUCUUAUGGCUUCCCCUUUUAAGAGGCCCGACCAUAUCCAGCCCCUAGACCGCAAAGGGCCAAGUUAUGGGAUUGUUUGGAGAGCGGUAGGGGGCAUAUGACUCUGACUAGCAAAGAGCUGGCAACCAAUGCAAUGUUGGACAAGGUCCUGUGCGUUUGGUCGGGUCGUCGGCCAGUAGAAAUCUAUACGGAAGGCCUUGCUGACUAAUGCUCGAGCUGCGGCGUGGUGCCCGCCCAGUCCGACAUGGAUUUCAGCCAAGAGCUGCCGCCCUUCCUCUUUGGAGAUGCAUCUUUGGAGUACUCCGGUAGCGCUUUUCUUGUAGAGUUCCCCUUCAUAUACUUUGUAGGCUUUAGAGCGCCGGACGAUGCAACGUGCUUCAUUUUGGUCUUCGGGGAGCUCCUGCCUAUUUAGGUAGGCCAAGAAAGGCUCGGUCCACGGGGCGAUUACAACCAUGAUUUCAUGGGCCGAGGACGUUAUUUCGGUGGUAGAACCUCCGACUAUGUCUGAUAGUUUGGAAUCUGGGGGUGUAUCCGGAUCCGUGCUAGUGUUGCCGGACUCCCCUUCCCAUACGACGGAUGGCUUGAACAGCCGUUCCAAGAAAAUGUUCGGUGGGACAGGGUCGCGUUUAGCGCCGAUGCGAGCGAGGACGUCCGCCGCUUGAUUGUUUUCUCGAGCCACAUGGUGGAAUUCAAGCCCCUCGAACCGAGCUGACAUCUUGAGGACGGCAUUACGGUAGGCCGCCAUUUUCGGGUCCUUGGCAUCAAAAUCUCCAUUUAUUUGUGAUAUUGCGAGGUUUGAAUCCCCGCGCACUUCUAGGCAUUGAAUGCCCAUAGAGACUGCCAUCCGGAGACCGUGCAACAGAGCCUCAUAUUCGGCUGCAUUGUUCGAGUCCGUGUAUAAUAUUUGGAGGACGUACUGGACCGUGUCUUCGGUGGGAGACGUCAGGACUACACCUGCUCCCAAUCUGGCCAGCAUUUUAGAGGCGUCGAAGUGCAUGAUCCAGUUUGAGUAUGCGUUGUACUCUUUAGGGAGUUCGGCUUCUGUCCAUUCGGCAACGAAGUCAGCCAGUACUUGCGACUUGAUGGCCCGUCGUGGUUUGUAUGUUAUGUCGAACGGAAGGAGCUCAAUGGCCCAUUUUGCAAUCUGGCCCGUAGCAUUGCGGUUAUUUAUUAUGUCAUUGAGCGGUACUUCGGAGGCCACCAUAAUCGAACACUCUUGAAAGUAGUGUCGUAGCUUCCGGGAUGCCAUGAAAACCGCGUAUGUUAUUUUUUGAUAGUGUGGGUAUCGGGAUUUGCAUGGGGUUAGGACCGUGGAUACGUAGUAAACCGGCUUCUGGAGCGGGUAUUUGUAUCCGUCAGCCUCUCGUUCAACGACGAGCACUGCGCUUACAACUUGAUGCGUUGCAGCUAUGUAUAGCAGCAUAGGUUCGUCGAUAUUCGGCGCUGUUAGUACUGGAUUACUGUCCAAUAAGGUCUUUAUUUCAUCCAGUCCGGCCGCGGAUGCAUCCGUCCACACGAAGUGUUCGGUGCGCCGAAGAAGGCGGUAAAGAGGUAAUGCCUUUUCUCCUAACCUGGAGAUAAAGCGGCUUAGAGCAGCCACGCAUCCGGCUAGUUUCUGGAUGUGCUUGAGGUCUGUUGGUAUAGCCAACUGUGACAGAGCUCGGAUUUUCUGGAUUCGUUUCAAUUCCUCUAUUGGAAACGAUGAAGCCGAGUAGUUUCCCCGUGGGGACGCCAAAAACGCAUUUUUUUGGGUUCAGCUUGAUGUCGUAUGUCCGGAGAUUGUUGAAUGUAAGCCUCAAGUCAUCUAUUAGGGUUUCGACGUGCCUUGUUUUUAUGACCACGUCAUCCAUGUAUGCCUCCACUGUUUUGCCGAUUUACUUUUCCAGGCAUGUUUGAAUCAUGUGUUGGUAGGUUGCACCGGCGUUCUUGAGCUCGAAAGGCAUCGUGUUAAAGCAAAAAGGGCCAUAUGGCGUUAUGAAAGUUGUUGCAGCUUGGUCAGACUCUGCCAUCUUUAUUUGAUGGUAUCUAGAGUAUGCGUCGAGGAAACACAGUGAGUCGUGUCCCGCUGUGGCAUCAAUGAUUUGAUCAAUGCGAGGGAGGGGAAAGGGAUCCUUGGGGCAAGCCUUGUUGAGGUCUUUAAAGUCGACACAUAGGCGCCAGGAUUUGUCCUUCUUUGGUACAAUUACCAGGUUUGCCAGCCAAUCCGGAUGCUUGCUAUCUCUGAUGAAUCUGGCCUCGGGUAGUUUGGCUAGUUCUUCCCCCAUGGCCUACCGUUUGGGCUCUGAAAACCGUCUUAGAGUCUGCUUGACCGGUUUGUAUCGUUUUAGUAUAUUGAGGCUGUGUUCGGCCAAUCUGCGUGGGAUGCCUGGCAUGUCCGAUGGGUGCCAGGCGAAGAUGUCCCAAUUCUCGCGUAAGAAGUCUCGCAGUGCGGCGUCCAUCGCGGGGCUCAGUUGUGUCCCAACGGAAGCUGUCUUCGUGGGGUCCGUUGGAUGGACUUGGAAUUUGACUAUCUCGUCUGCGGGUUUAAAUGAGGUCGACUUGGGUCGCUUGUCGAGUAUCACGUCGUCCCUGUCCAUGGUGGCCCGCAGUCUUGUUAAUUCUUCGGCUGCUAGGGCCUCGGAUAAUGCCUCCAGGGCUAUUGCUGCGGUUUUGUUUUCGGCGUGAAGUGCGACGUCCGGAUCACUGGCUAGAGUGAUGAUUCCAUUGGGCUCGGGCAUUUUAAGCUUCAUACCCGUAAUGGGGUAUAGCUUGAAAGCUUGUAAGCGCGUCCCGCCCUAAAAGGGCGUGGUAUCCGCCGCUAAAAGCGGCCACUUGGAAUGUGAUUUCUUCUGACCUAUAAUUAUCCGGGGUGCCGAAUACCACGUCAAGUGUGAUUUUUCCCGCACACCGUGCUUCCCGACUAGGGAUAAUUCCCCUGAAGGUUGUGCCGCUUUUUUCAAUGUGGCCUUUGUCAAUUUCCAUCUUGCUGAGUGUCUCUUCAUAGAUCAGAAUCAACCCGCUUCCGCCAUCCAUGAGCACUUUAGUGAGCCGAAAGCCGUCCACGAUUGGGCUAAGAACCAGAGCGCCUGGUGCACGGACAGUCCGGAAUCUAGGUUCGUCACUGGCGUUGUAAGUUAUAGCAGUGUCGUUCCAGGGGUUCAUUUUGGCCGUAUGGCAAAUUUCCAUGGAGCUUUGAUGAGCUUGCUUGCGCCUACUGUUUGAGGCAAAAGUCUCGGAGACUGUUAGUACCGUAUUGUGCUCAUUGGCGGGAUGUUGUUCUGUAAGAAGAUCCUCGCCACUUUUCGCAACCUGCCGGAGUAUCCAACAUGCCCUAAGGCUAUGAGUUGGUGUUGUGUCCGGAGUGCUGUGGAGUUUACAUGGCCCAUUGAGCCAUUUUUCCAAUACGGUUCCCCGCCCUGGGGUGGGCUUUGGUUUCUUGGGGAUUGGAUCGGACGACGUACGAGAGUUCGCCUGUUUAGUUCGGAAAAAGGUUUUGGUGAAAGCCAGAUUGUCCCAAAAUUCAGUUUGAGUUUUCCAGACGCUUUCCAUCGCACAGUACUUCUGUACUAUGAUUGCUAAGUCCGCAAAGCGUACUAUGUCACAGCGAUUUAUAGCAUUAAGGAUUCCUUUGUCCGUGCAGUUUUUGCAGAAGAGCGAGACUACGUCCUCCUCAUGGCAGUCCUCGACCUUGUUUAGCGCAAGGAGGAAUCUGGCCGAGUAAUGAUGUACUGUCUCCUGGGGCUCUUGCCCGCAGUGUGGUUAUAGCUGAAUCCGGAUUCUGAUCCGAUCUAGCACCCCGGGGCAUGGAAGCUUCCGAGUUCAACAGCUCGGGACUCAGGACGCUGCCCAAUUUUUCUAGCCCCGUGCCCGGUUCUAAGUCCAGGACCCGGGUCAUAUCCUCCCCCGGGCGAGUGUCCGGCUCUGGGACUCGGUGAUCCGGACAUAAUUCGUCCUCAAAAUAGAGGGAUACUCCUUGUGUGGUUCCUCCGAUACCACUAUCUCAUGGGUGGCCGGCGGGGAUUUAAUGUCCCUUUGCUCGGGUUUAAGCCCGAUCCGGUCAUUGUCCAUUACGACUCCCAAAGCGGCGAUGCAAUCCAAGAGCUCAUUAAGAGAAGAGAGCUCUAUCAGAUCCAUAUGUUCGGCGAGUUCCGAAUUGAUGUGAAGUUUAUGCGUGAUGACCCGAGAGGCCAUCGUCGGCACGACAUCCGAUGGGGUGGCCAUGACGAAGCCGCCUAGUUGGAGAGUUUGGCCUACAACCAGAGCUCCCCCCGCGGUAAUGUUGUCCCUCACAAUGAGACGAGUCAUCGAGCCUUGCAGGGACGACACAGAGGAACUCUCAAUGAAAGCAUGAAUGUCGGUGUCAAAACCGGUGGAUCUCGGGUAGGGGGUCCCGAUCUGUGCAUCAAGGCUGAUGGUAACAGGAAGCAAGGGACACAAAUGUUUACCCAGGUUCGGGCCCUCUCGAUGGAGGUAAAACCCUACUUCCUGCUUGAUUAAUAUUGAAGAUAUGGGUAGUACAAGAGUAGAUCUACCACGAGAUCUUAGAGGCUAAACCCUAGAAGCUAGCCUAUGAUGGUAUGAUUGUAAUCGUGAUCAGCCUUCUAAGGACCAACCUCUCCAGUUUAUAUAGACACCAGAGAGGGCUAGGGUUUACAUGGAGUCAAUUACAAGGAAGGAAAUAUAAUAUCCGGAUCGCCAAGCUUGCCUUCCACGCCAAGGAAAGUCCCAUCCGGACACGGGUCGAAGUCUUGAGUCUUGUAUCUUCACGCUUCAAUAGUCUGGACGAUGUAUACAGUCCGGCUGUCCGGAUACCCCCUAAUCCAGGACUCCCUCAGUGGGCCUUUAGCUGGGCCAGCCCAUUAUGGUCCGCAAAAUCUUGUGAGCCUUUAGCUGGGCCGGCCCAUUAUGGUCCACAAAACUUGUGGUCCUUUAAUUGGGCCGGCCCAAUUAAACUUGUUGGGUCAUGCCACGUGUCGACGUAUCAUACGCUUUCUGUCCAAUGAGUGGAUGACAUCUGUCCCAGCGGUGAGCCGACACGUGUUUCCUCGAGCCAAUGAUGAUUUUACAUGUGGAAAAUCCCCAUUGGUCGGGGUUGUUAACGGGUUAUCGGAUCCAAAACCCGACCCGGUAGCUUAAGGGUGUUCCGUUAUGGUGGAUGCCACAUGUCGGUCACCCUUGACGAAAGCACUUCUUUGACGCACGAUUUAUCGUCAUGGAAGUGGACACUUCCGUGAUGAUAAUUUUCGUAAUGUCAUGGAACACUUCUACGACAACACAGGUAUGACUAUCUUGAUUCUGUCAUAACUUUGUCAUGGAUGUACAUGCAUGACAAAAAACGCGACCUACUGUGACAAACACGUAUCAUCACGGAAGUGUAUUUUUUUGUAGUGUAUGUUGUCUCAACAUAGCCGGUCCCAAGCCCGGGUAAAGGAGGAGGGUUAUUUGCUCCUUUUCUAGCCCAGAAUUCUAGCUGCCGGCAUUCUCCCUCCUUAUGUAAAGCUUGUAAAAUAAGAGAGAAUAGACAUAAGUAUUGUGACAUAACGUGUAAUAACAGCCCAUAAUGCAAUAAAUAUCGACAUAAAAGCAUGAUGCAAAAUGGACAUAUAAGUGUUUUCUCCUCUCUAUCUUGUUGUGAUGAAUUGAGUAUUUCCCUUUGAGAUUUCGUUGUUAUCGGAUUGAAUACUUUUAUGGAUUUGAGAACACUUGAUAUAUGUCUUGCAAUUGAAUACUCAUGGUGACAAAUAGGGUAUCGUAUUGAUUCACAUGAUAUAUGUUUUGGCACUCAACUCGCGCAAUACCGAGGUGACCUUGGGGUAAUCUAUGCAUAAGGGUUGAUGCACGUUCUUGUCUUUGUUUCUUCGGUAGAAAUCUUGGGGCACUCUUUGAAGUUCUUUGUGUUAGAUUGAAUAUUAUGAAUAUGGAUUUGCUUUUGUGUUAUUUUAGUACGAACUCUAGGAUAGAUCGAACGGAAAGAAUAGCUUUGUGUUAUUUUAUUACGAACUCUUGAAUAGAUUGAACGGAAAGGAUAGCUUUGAGGUGGUUUCGUGCCCUACAAACAAUUUAUUCUUAUGUUCUCCGCUAGAUAGGAACUUUGGAUUGAUUCUCUGUCGCACUUUGAGGGGUGGUUAUAUGAUCCAAUUAUAUUAGCAUUGUUGAGAGAUUGCAAUAGCGAAACUACGGACCCUAGGCCUCAUUUUCAAGCAUUGCAAUACUGUUUUUGUGCCCGUUUACUAUUUGCUACCUUGCUGUUUUUAUUUAUUCAGAUUAUAAAAAUAUAUUUCUACCAUCCAUAUUACACUUUUAUCACCAUCUCUUCGCCGAACUAGUGCACCUAUACAAUUUGCCAUUGUAUUGGGUGUGUUGGGGACACACGAGAUUUCCUGUAUUUGCUUGCGGGGUCAUUUGAGAGAGACCAUGUUCAUUGUACACCUCUCACGGAUUGAUAAACCUUAAGUCAUCCACUUGAGGGAAAAUUGCUACUGUCCUACAAAACUCUGCGCUUGGAGGCCCAACACGUGUCUACAAGAAUAAAGUUGCGUAGUAGACAUCAAGCUCUUUUCUGGCGCCGUUGUCGGGGAGGUGAGUGCUUGAAGGUAUAUCUUUAGAUCUUGCAAUUGAAUCUUUUAGUUUCUUGUUUUAUCACUAGUUUUUUUUUAUAAAAAUAAAACUACAAAAAAUGGAAUUGAGGAAAAUUGUGCUCCACUGUUAGAAGAAGAAUUCUAUAAAAUGUUUGAAAAAAAAUCUUUGAAUGAUGAGCAUGAUUGCAAUGUUGUUGGUAUGAACUCUUUGAAUAUCCAUGAUGCUAGUGAUAUGCAAAGCCAUAAGCUUGGGGAUGCUAUGUUUGAUGAAGAUGAUAUUUUUAGUCCCUGAAGAUUUGAUGUGCAAAUUUGUUAUAAUGAUUGCACGCCUCCUAUUUAUUAUGAUUAUAUUGAUGAAAGUGGGUUUGGAAGAGUGUCAACUUUAGAUAGUGAUCCCACUAUUUGGACGGUGUUGAAUCUUAUUGUUAUAAUGAUAAAAGUGGAUUUGGAGAGGUCAUGACUUUAUUUAGUGAUGAAUCCACUAUUUCGGAAGAGGUUCCAAUUGAUUAUGAGAACAAAAUUGCUACAUAUGAUGAUUAUGGUGAUGACAUGUAUGCUAUAAAGAAUAAUGAUAACCAUGAAACUUGUCAUCAUGAUUUUAAUUUUCAAUCUCAUGAUAGUUAUUUUGUUGAGUUUGCUCCCACUACUAUUGAUGAGAAGAAAUUUUGUUAUGUGGAGAGUAAUGAGUUUUCUAUGCUUUUGUGUCAUGGAAAGAAUGCUUUAUGUGAUAGUUAUAUUGUUGAUUUUCUUCAUGAUGCAACUGAAAAUUUUUAUGAGGGAGGAACUUAUGCUUGUAGGAAUUGCAAUAAUAUCAAGUUUCCUCUCUAUGUGUUGAAAGUUUUGAAGUUAUGCUUGUUUUGCCUUCCUAUGCUAGUUGAUUAUUGUUCCCAUAAGUUGUUUGCUCACAAAAUCCUAUGCAUAGGAAGUGGGUUAGACUUAAAUGUGCUAGUCAUAUGCUUCAUGACGCUCUCUUUGUGUUUCAAUUCUUUACUUUUAUGCGAGCAUCAUUGAAAUCAUCAUGCCUAGCUAAAAGGCAUUAAAGAAAAGCGCUUGUUGGGAGACAACCCAAAACUUUUACCUAUUGUUUUUGUGUGUUCACAUGAUUAGGCAAUUGUAGUAAUCAUGUUUUAUUGCAUUCGUUUCAAUAAAGUGCCAAGUAAGACCUUUGGGAUCAUGUUGGGUGAUAGUAGAUUUGAUCUUGCUGAAAAACAGAAACUUUGGUGCUCACGAAAAUAAGUCUCAUUUUUAAUAGAAGAGUGAUUUUGAGUUGAUUCUUUUUGCAGAAGUUUAAUUUACAAAUUGCUCACGUGGUCAUAAUUUUUUGAGUAGCAUAAGUAUGGUAGUUAUCCAGAUCAUUACAGUCUGUUCUGUUUUUGACAGAUUCUAUUUUCAAUGCAUAGUUUGCUUGUUUUCUAGUUUCUGUGGCUUAUAUUACUCAAUAUAAAUUGUGGAAAUGAUGAGGUACAGUAGGCAUUGUGUGGAAAAAAAUAUGAAUCUUAUCUUUGGUAGUACCAAAGUGAAAUGGUUUGCUCUUUAUCAUACUAACCUAUCUCACGAAUUUUUGUUAAGUUUUGUGUGAUUGAAGUUUUCAUGUUUUGGGUGAGAUAUCGAUAUGAGGAGCAUAAGGAGUGACAAGACCCCAAGAUUGGGGAUGCCCAAGGCACCCCAAGUUAAUAUCCAAGGAAGAUCCAAGCAACUAAACUUGGGGAUGCCCCGGAAGGCAUCCCCUCUUUCGUCUCCAACAUUAUCGGUAACCUCACUUGGAGCUAUGUUUUCUUCGUCACAUGAUUUGUGUUUUGCUUGGAGCAUCAUUUUAUUUUGUUAGGAUGUGCUUGAUGUUAUUUAUAAUAAUGUUUUGCAUCUUUUAUUUCAAUAAAAGUGGCAAUGAUAGCCUUUGCCAUGCUUAUUUUGCAAGUAUACAUGUUGCUGUUUGAAAACAGAAAGUUUACCGUUGUUGCAAAAAUUCCCUAGAUAAGUCAGAAUGUGAUAAAAUGUUGAAACUUUUUCAAUGAUAAGCUAGGAUAAAUUCUCUACAGUGUGGUAGAAUUCCAUAAUGUUUGGAGGUGAAUAAGUAUUGAUACUCUUGCAUUUUUUACAGACUGUAUUGUUUUGGCAGAUUGCUGUUAUGUUUGAAUUGUUUGCAUAUGUUUGCUUAUUUAAUGAUCCUAUUUGUGGAUAUGAGUAUUAAAUAUGCAGAGGCAUUUAGUAUGCAAUGUUGAAUAAUAAUUUUAGUGAUUUGCUACAGUAGAUAAUGAUAAGGUUUUUGCAUUGGUUUAUACUAACUUAUCUCACGAGUUCUUGUUGAGUUUUGUGUGGAUGAAGCUUUUGAGAUUUAGGAAAACCGUGAUAUGAGAGGAAUUAAGGAGACAUAAAAGCUCAAGCUUGGGGAUGCCCAAGGCAUCCGAAGAUAAUAUUUGUAUAAGUCUCAAGCAUCUAAACUUGGGGAUGCCCCGGUAGGCAUCCCACCUUUUUUCUUCAACAAUUAUCGGUUAGUAUCGGUUGAGCCUAAGUUUUUGCUUCUUCACAUGAGUUGUGCUAUUCUUGGAACGUCAUUUUAUUUUUGUUUUUCUUGUUGUUUUACUAAAAUACUUAGAUCUGAAAGUUUUAAAUAAGAGAGAGUCCAGACAUAGCUAUCUAUUUACUUAACUACUCAUUUGAUCUUCACUUAUAUCUUUUUGGAGUAGCUUGUCAUUUACUCUUGUGCUUCACUUAUAUCCUAUGAGUAAAUUGUUGAAUGAAUUGAAUAUCACGAAGUUGAAAUUAUAUCAUGCCUAGUGGUAGCUUCACAUUGGGUUUAGAAAGUGAAAUCUUUUGAGGCUUGACAAUCACAAUAUUGGUCAUACAAGAAUUCACGAAUAAUUAGUAUAAGGAAGAGAACUUUCACAUGCAAAUACAUUAUCAUGGAAAUCUUUUGUGAUUGUGAGCCCCCAUCAAAAUAUUAUAUGCCAAAAUUAUUGUCAUUGGACAAGGAAGACAAUGUAGUGAUUUAUGUUUGCUCAUAUUCACAUAGAAGUUAUAUUGUCAUAUAGCCUUCAACAUGUGGUGCUUGUCCCCAUCUUUGCUAGCCAAAAAUUUCGCACCAAGUAGAGAUACUACUUGUGCAUCCAAAAACCCUUAAACCCAAAUCUUAUUUUCAAGAGUCCACCAUACCUACCUAAGGAUUGAGUCAGAUCCUUCAAUUAAGUUGUCAUCGGUGCAUUAAGGCAAUAAAAAUUGCUUCUACAAAGUGAGAUCAUUUAGUGUAAGAGAAAAUUGAGCCUUGUACGAACUUGGAUGGCAAAGAAUAAAAUCGACAGACUGCAUAAUAAAGGUUGCCAUCUGAAGGGGCAAUACAACGUGACGUUCUUUUGCACUAAGGGAUUGAGCAUACAAAAAAAUAAGCGCAUGGCAACCUCUGCUUCCCUCUGCGAAGGGCCUAUCUUUUACUUUUAUGCAAGAGUCAAAGUUUUUCUCUCUAUUCCUUUUUUAUUUUCUCUUUUGGCAAGCAUCAUGUGGUGAGGAAAGAUCUAGGCACACAUGUCCAGUUGAAUAUGAGUAGCAUGAGUUAUUAUUGUUGACAUCACCCUUGAGGUGAAUACGUUGGGAGGCAAAACUCUAAGCCCCUAUCUUUCUAUGUGUCCGGUUGAAACGUUUUGCUCAUGUGUAUGCGGUGAGUGUUAGCAGUCAUAGAAGACUAUAUGAUGGUUGAGUAUGUGGAGCUCUUACUUACUCUGUUGAAUAAGUUGAAUUGCAAUUGCUUGGUGACUACGAACAUAGGUUGUUGAGUUUCAAGAGAGUUCAUUGUUUGGACCUUAACAUGUGAAUUGGUUGCUACUAUUGUUGGGGAACAUAGUAAUUUCAAAAAAUUCCUACGCACACGCAAGAUCAUGGUGAUGCAUAACAACGAGAGGGGAGAGUGUGUCCACGUACCCUCGUAGACCGAAAGCGGAAGCGUUAGCACAACGCGGUUGAUGUAGUCGUACGUCUUCACGGCCCGACCGAUCAAGCACCGAAACUACGGCACCUCCGAGUUGUAGCACACGUUCAGCUCGAUGACGUCCCUCGAACUCCGAUCCAGCCGAGUGUCGAGGGAGAGUUCUAUCAGCACAACGGCGUGGUGACGAUCUUGAUGUUCUACCGUCGCAGGGCUUCACCUAAGCACCGCUACGAUAUUAUCGAGGUGGACUAUGGUGGAGGGGGGCACCGCACACAACUAAGAGAUCCAAGGGAUCAAUUGUUGUUGUGUCUUUGGGGUGCCCCCUGCCCCCGUAUAUAAAGGAGCAAGGGAGGAGGAGGCCGGCCCUAGGAGGGGGCGCGCCAAGGGGAGUCCUACUCCCACCGGGAGUAGGACUCCCUCCUUCCUUGUUGGAGUAGGAGAAGGGGAAAGAGGGGGAGAGGAAGAAGGAAAAGGGGGCUGCGCCCCUUGUCCAAUUCGGACCAGAGGGAGGACGCAGGCCACCUUCCUUUUGGCCUCUCUGCUCUAUUCCCGUAUGGCCCAAUAAGGCCCAUAUACUCCCCGGCGAAUUCCCAUAACUCUCCGGUACUCCGAAAAAUACCCGAAUCACUCGGAACCUUUCCGAAGUCCGAAUAUAGUCGUCCAAUAUAUCGAUCUUUACGUAUCAACCAUUUCGGACUCCUCGUCAUGUCCCCGAUCUCAUCCGGGACUCUGAACUCCUUCGGUACAUAAAAACUCAUAAACUCAUAAUAUAACUGUCAUCAAAACCUUAAGCGUGCGGACCCUACGGGUUCGAGAACUAUGUAGACAUGACCGAGACACAUCUCCGGUCAAUAACCAAUAGCGGAACCUAGAUGCUCAUAUUGGCUCCCACAUAUUCUACGAAGAUCUUUAUCGGUCAAACCGCAUAACAACAUACGUUGUUCCCUUUGUCAUCGGUAUGUUACUUGUCCGAGAUUCGAUCGUCGAUAUCCAAUACCUAGUUCAAUCUCAUUACCGGCAAGUCUCUUUACUCGUUACGUAAUGCAUCAUUCCGUAACUAACUCAUUAGCUACAUUGCUUGCAAGGCUUAUAGUGAUGUGCAUUACCGAGAGGGGCCAGAGAUACCUCUCCGACAAUCGGAGUGACAAAACCUAAUCUUGAAAUACGCCAACCCAACAUGUACCUUCGGAGACACCUGUAGAUCUCCUUUAUAAUCACCCAGUUACGUUGUGAUGUUUGGUAGCACACAAAGUGUUCCUCCGAUAAACGGGAGUUGCAUAAUCUCAUAGUUACAGGAACAUGUAUAAGUCAUGAAGAAAGCAAUAGCAACAGACUAAACGAUCAAGUGCUAGGCUAACGGAAUGGUCAUGUCAAUCACAUCAUUCUUCUAAUGAUGUGAUCCCUUUAAUCAAAUGACAACACAUGUCUAUGGUUAGGAAACAUAACCAUCUUUGAUUAAUGAGCUAGUCAAGUAGAGGCAUACUGGUGACGUUAUGUUUGUCUAUGUAUUCACACAUGUAUUAUGUUUCCGGUUAAUACAAUUCUAGCAUGAAUAAUAAACAUUUAUCAUGAUAUAAGGAAAUAAAUAAUAACUUUAUUAUUACCUCUAGGGCAUAUUUCCUUCAGUCUCCCACUUGCACUAGAGUCAAUAAUCUAGUUCACAUCAUCAUGUGAUUCAACACCAAUAUUCAUAUCCGUAUGUGAUUAACACCCAUAGUUCACAUCAUCAUGUGACCAACACCCAAAGGGUUUACUAGAGUCAAUAAUCUCGUUCACAUCGCUAUGUGAUUAACACCCAAGAGUACUAAGGUAUGAUCAUGUUUUGCUCGUGAGAGAAGCUUAGUCAACGGGUCUGUCACAUUUAGAGCCGUAUGUAUUUUGUAAAUAUUCUAUGUCUACAAUGCUCUGCAUGGAGCUACUCUAGCUAAUUGCUCCCACUUUCAAUAUGUAUCUAGACCGAGACUUAGAGUCAUCUAGAUUAGUGUCAAAACUUGCAUCGACGCAACCCUUUACGACGAGCCUUUUUGUCACCUCCAUAAUCGAGAAACAUAUCCUUAUUCCCCUAAGGAUAAUUUUGACCGUUGUCAAGUGAUCUACUCCUAGAUCACUAUUGUACUCCCUUGCUAAAAUCAGUGUAGGGUAUACAAUAGAUCUGGUACACAGUAUGGCAUACUUUAUAGAACCUAUGGCUGAGGCAUAGGGAAUGACUUUCAUUCUCUUUCUAUCUUCUGCCGUGGUCGAGCUUUGAGUCUUACUCAAUUUCACACCUUGUAACACAGGCAAGAACUCUUUCUUUGACUGUUCCAUUUUGAACUACUUCAAAACCUUGUCAAGGUAUGUACUCAUUGAAAAACUUAUCAAGCGUCUUGAUCUAUCUCUAUAGAUCUUGAUGCUCAAUAUGUAAGCAGCUUCACCGAGGUCUUUCUUUCAAAAACUCCUUUCAAACACUCCUUUAUGCUUUGCAGAAUAAUUCUACAUUAUUUCCGAUCAACAAUAUGUCAUUCACAUAUACUUAUCAGAAAUGUUGUAGUGCUCCCACUCACUUUCUUGUAAAUAUAGGCUUCACCGUAAGUCUGUAUAAAACUAUAUCCUUUGAUCAACUUAUCAAAGCGUGUAUUCCAACUCUGAGAUGCUUGCACCAGUCCAUAGAUGGAUCGCUGGAUCUUGCAUAUUUUGUUAGCUCCUUUAGGAUUGACAAAACCUUCUGGUUGCAUCAUAUACAACUCUUCUUUAAUAAAUCCAUUAAAGAAUGUAGUUUUGACACCCAUUUUCCAGAUUCCAUAAAAUGUGGCAAUUGCUAACAUGAUUCAGACAGACUUAAGCAUCACUACAGUUGAGAAAAUCUCAUUGUAGUCAACAUCUUGAACUUGUCGAAAACCUUUUUGUGACAAGUCGAGUGAGGGAGUCCCGUACUAGGGGGUGUCCGGAUAACCGAACUAUCAUCGUCGGCCGGACUCCAAGACUACGAAGAUACAAGAUUGAAGACUUCGUCCCGUGUCCGGAGGGGACUUUCCUUGGCAUGGAAGGCAAGCUUGGCGAUACGGAUAUGUAGAUCUCCUACCAUUGUAACCGACUCUGUGUAACCCUAGCCCUCUCCGGUGUCUAUAUAAACCGGAUGGCUUUAGUCCAUAGGACGAACAACAAUCAUGCCAUAGGCUAGCUUCUAGGGUUUAGCCUCCUUGAUCUCGUGGUAGAUCUACUCUUGUAACACACAUCAUCAAUAUUAAUCAAGUAGGACGUAGGGUUUUACCUCCAUCAAGAGGGCCCGAACUUGGGUAAAACAUCGUGUCCCUCGUCUCCUGUUACCAUCCGCCUAGACGCACAGUUCGGGACCCCCUACCCGAGAUCCACCGGUUUUGACACCGACAUCGGGCUUUGUAGAUAGUAACACUACUAUCAGUGUCCGUCUUCCUCUUGAAGAUCCAUUUAUUUAACAUGGCUUGCUGAUCAUUGAGCAAGUCAAUCAAAGUCCAUACUUUGUUCUCAUACUUGGAUCCUAUCUCAGAUUUCAUGGCCUCAAGCCAUUUCGCGGAAUCUGGGCUCAUCAUUGCUUCCUCAUAGUUUGUAGGUUCAUCAUGGUCUAGUAACAUGACUUCCAGAACAUGAUUACUGUACCACUCUGGUUCGGAUCUUACUCUGGAAGACCUACGAGGUUUGGUAGCAACUUGAUCUGAAGUUUCAUGAUCAUCAUCAUUAACUUCCUCACUAAUUGGUGUAGGAAUCACUGGAACUGAUUUCUGUGAUGAACUACUUUCCAAUAAGGGAGAAGGUACAAUUACCUCAUCAAUUUCUACUUUCCUCCCACUCACUUCUUUCGAGAGAAACUUCUUCUCUAGAAAGGAUCCAUUUUAGCAACGAAUAACUUGCCUUCAGAUCUGUGAUAGAAGGUGUACCCAAUAGUUACCUUUGGGUAUUCUAUGAAGACGCACUUCUCCAAUUUGGGUUCGAGCUUAUCAGGUUGAAACUUUUUCACAUAAGCAUCGCUUUCCCGAACUUUAAGAAACGACAACUUUGGUUUCUUGCCAAACCACAGUUCAUAAGGCGUCGUCGCAGCGGAUUUUGAUGGUGCCCUAUUUAAAGUGAAUGCAAUUGUCUCUAAUGCAUAACCCCAAAACAAUAGUGGUAAACUGAUAAGAGACAUCAUAGAUCGCACCAUAUCCAAUAAAGUGCGGUUACGACGUUCGGACACACUAUAACGCUGUGGUGUUCCAUGUGGCGUGAGCUGUGAAACUAUUCCACAUUGUUUUAUAUGAAGGCCAAACUCGUAACUCAAAUAUUCUUCUCCACGAUCAGAUCGUAGAAACUUUAUUUUCUUGUUACGAUGAUUCUCCACUUCACUCUGAAAUUCUUUGAACUUUCAAAUGUUUCAGACUUGUGUUUUAUUAAGUAGAUAUACUCAUAUCUGCUCAAAUCAUCUUGUGAAGGUCAGAAAAUAAUGAUACCCGCCACGAGCACCAAUACUCAUUGGAUCGCAUACAUCGGUAUGUAUUAUUUCCAACAAGUCAGCAGCUCGUUCCAUUGUUCUGAAGAACGGAGUUUUAGUCAUCUUGCCCAUAAGGCACAGUUCACAAGUAUCAAAUGAUUCAUAACCAAGUGAUUCCAAAAAUCCAUCUUUAUGGAGUUUCUUCAUGCGCUUUACACCGAUAUGACCCAAACGGCAGUGCCACAAAUAACUUGCACUAUCAUUAUUAACUUUGCAUCUUUUGGCAUCAAUAUUAUGAAUAUGUGUAUCACUACGAUUGAGAUCCAAUAAACUAUUUUCAUUGGGUGUAUGACCAUUGAAGGUUUUAUUCAUGUAAAUAGAACAACAAUUAUUCUCUGACUUUAAAUGAAUAACCGUAUUGCAAUAAACAUGAUCAAAUCAUAUUCAUGCUCAUCGCAAACGCCAAAUAACAUUUAUUUAGGUUCUACACAAAUCUCGAAAGUGUAGGGAGAGUGUGAUGAUGAUCAUAUCAAUCUUGGAACUACUUCCAACACACAUCGUCACUUCACCCUCAACUAGUCUCUGUUUAUUCUGUAACUCCUGUUUCGAGUUACUAAUAUUUAGCAACCGAACAAGUAUCAAAUACUCAGGGGCUACUAUAAACACUAGUAAAGUACACAUCAAUAACAUGUAUAUCAAAUAUACCCUUGUUCACUUUGCCAUCCUUCUUAUCCACCAAAUAUUCAGGGCAUCUCCGCUUCUAGUGACCAUUUCCUUUGCAGUAUAAUCACUCAGUUUCAGGCUUUGGUCCAGCUUUGGGCUUCUUUGCGGGAGUGACAACUUGCUUGCCAUUCUGCUUGAAGUUCCCUUUCUUUCCUUUUUCUUGAAACUAGUGGUCUUGUAUAUCAACACUUGAUGCUCUUUCUUGAUUUCUACCUUCGUCGAUUUCAGCAUCACGAAGAGCUCGAGAAUCAUUUUUGUCAUCCCUUGCAUUAUAGUUCAUCACGAAGUUCUAGUAACUUAGUGAUGGUGACAAGAGAAUUCUGUCAAUCACUAUCUUAUCUGGAAGAUUAACUCCCACUUGAUUCAAGCGAUUGAAGUACCCAGACAAUCUGAGCGCAUGCUCACUAGUUGAGCGAUUCUCCUCCAUCUUUUAGCUAUAGAACUUGUUGGAGACUUCAUAUCUCUCAACUCGAGUAUUUGCUGGAAAUAUUAACUUCAACUCCUGGAACAUCUCAUAUGGUCCAUGGCGUUCAAAACGUCUUUGAAGUCCCGAUUCUAAGCUGUUAAGCAUGGUGCACUACACUAUCGAGUAGUCAUCAUAUUGAGCUAGCCAAACGUUCAUAAUGUCUGCAUCUGCUCCUGCAAUAGGUCUGUCACCUAGUGGUGCAUUAAGGACAUAAUUCUUCUGUGCAGCAAUGAGGAUAAACCUCAGAUCACGGAUCCAAUCCGCAUCAUUGCUACUAACAUCUUUCAACACAAUUUUCUCUAGGAACAUAUCAAAAUAAACAUACGAAAGCAACAACGCAAGCUAUUGAUCUACAACAUAAUUUGCAAAAUACUACCAGGACUAAGUUCAUGAUAAAUUUAAGUUCAAUUAAUCAUAUUACUUAAGAACUCCCACUUAGAUAGACAUCCCUCUAAUCCUCUAAGUGAUUACAUGAUCCAUAUCAACUAAACCAUGUCCGAUCAUCACAUGAGAUGGAGUAGUUUCAAUGGUGAACAUCACUAUGUUGAUCAUAUCUACUAUAUGAUUCACGCUCGACCUUUCGGUCUCCGUGUUCCGAGGCCAUAUCUGUUAUAUGCUAGGCUCGUCAAGUUUAACCUGAGUAUUCCGCGUGUGCAACUGUUUUGCACCCGUUGUAUUUGAACGUAGAGCCUAUCACACCCGAUCAUCACGUGGUGUCUCAGCAUGAAGAACUUUCGCAAUGGUGCAUACUCAGGGAGAACACUUCUUGAUAAUUAGUGAGAGAUCAUCUUAAAAUGCUACCGUCAAUCAAAGCAAGAUAAGAUGCAUAAAGGAUAAACAUCACAUGCAAUCAAUAUAAGUGAUAUGAUAUGGCCAUCAUCAUCUUGUGCUUGUGAUCUCCAUCUCCGAAGCACCGUCGUGAUCACCAUCGUCACCGGUGCGACACCUUGAUCUCCAUCGUAGCACCGUUGUCGUUACGACAUCUAUUGCUUCUACGACUAUCGCUACCGCUUAGUGAUAAAGUAAAGCAUUACAGGGCGAUUGCAUUGCAUACAAUAAAGCGACAACCAUAUGGCUCCUGCCAGUUGCCGAUAACUUGGUUACAAAACAUGAUCAUCUCAUAAAAUAAAAUAUAGCAUCACGUCUUGACCAUAUCACAUCACAACAUGCCCUGCAAAAACAAGUUAGACGUCCUCUGCUUUGUUGUUGCAAGUUUUACGUGGCUGCUACAGGCUUAGCAAGAACCGUUCUUACCUACGCAUAAAAACCACAACGAUAGUUCGUCAAGUUAGUGCUGUUUUAACCUUCACAAGGACCAGGCGUAGCCACACUUGGUUCAACUAAAGUUGGAGAAACUGACACCCGCCAGCCACCUGUGUGCAAAGCACGUCGGUAGAACCAGUCUCGCGUAAGCGUACGCGUAAUGUCGGUCCGGGCCGCUUCAUCCAACAAUACCGUCGAACCAAAGUAUGACAUGCUGGUAAGCAGUAUGACUUGUAUCACCCACAACUCACUUGUGUUCUACUCGGUGCAUAUAACAUCUACGCAUAAAACCAGGCUCGGAUGCCACUGUUGGGGAACGUAGUAAUUUCAAAAAAUUCCUACGCACACGCAAGAUCAUGGUGAUGCAUAGCAACGAGAGGGGAGAGUGUGUCCACGUACCCUCGUAGACCGAAAGCGGAAGCGUUAGCACAACGCGGUUGAUGUAGUCGUACGUCUUCAUGGCCUGACCGAUCAAGCACCGAAACUACGGCACCUCCGAGUUCUAGCACACGUUCAGCUUGAUGACGUCCCUCGAACUCCGAUCCAGCCAAGUGUCGAGGGAGAGUUCUGUCAGCACGACGGCGUGGUGACGAUCUUGAUGUUCUACCGUCGCAGGGCUUCACCUAAGCACCGCUACGAUAUUAUCGAGGUGGACUAUGGUGGAGGGGGGCACCGCACACGGCUAAGAGAUCCAAGGGAUCAAUUAUUGUUGUGUCUUUGGGGUGCCCCCUGCCCCCGUAUAUAAAGGAGCAAGGGAGGAGGAGGCCGGCCCUAGGAGGGGGCGCGCCAAGGGGAGUCCUACUCCCACCGGGAGUAGGACUCCCUCCUUCCUUGUUGGAGUAGGAGAAGGGGAAAGAGGGGAAGAUGAAGAAGGAAAAGGGGGCUGCGCCCCUUGUCCAAUUCGGACCAGACGGGGGGCGCAGGCCUCCUUCCUUUUGGCCUCUCUCCUCUAUUCCCGUAUGGCCCAAUAAGGCCCAUAUACUCCCCGGCGAAUUCCCGUAACUCUCUGGUACUCCGAAAAAUACCCGAAUCACUCAGAACCUUUCCGAAGUCCGAAUAUAGUCGUCCAAUAUAUCGAUCUUUACGUCUCGACCAUUUAGAGACUCCUCGUCAUGUCCCCGAUCUCAUCCGGACUCCGAACUCCUUCGGUACAUCAAAACUCGUAAUAUAACUGUCAUCGAAACCUUAAGCGUGCGGACCCUACGGGUUCGAGAACUAUGUAGACAUGACCGAGACACGUCUCCGGUCAAUAACCAAUAGCGGAACCUGGAUGCUCAUAUUGGCUCCCACAUAUUCUACGAAGAUCUUUAUCGGUCAAACCGCAUAACAACAUACGUUGUUUCCUUUGUCAUCGGUAUGUUACUUGUUCGAGAUUCGGUCGUCGGUAUCCAAUACCUAGUUCAAUCUCAUUACUGGCAAGUCUCUUUACUCGUUACGUAAUGCAUCAUUCUGUAACUAACUCAUUAGCUACAUUGCUUGCAAGGCUUAUAGUGAUGUGCAUUACCGAGAGGGCCCAGAGAUACCUCUCCGACAAUCGGAGUGACAAAUCUUAAUCUCAAAAUAGGCCAACCCAACAUGUACCUUCAGAGACACCUGUAGAGCUCCUUUAUAAUCACCCAGUUACGUUGUGACGUUUGGUAGCAUACAAAGUGUUCCUCCGGUAAAUGGGAGUUGCAUAAUCUCCUAGUUACAGGAACAUGUAUAAGUCAUGAAGAAAGCAAUAGCAACAUACUAAACGAUCAAGUGCUAGGCUAACGGAAUGGGUCAUGUCAAUCACAUCAUUCUCCUAAUGAUGUGAUCCCUUUAAUCAAAUGACAACACAUGUCUAUGGUUAGGAAACAUAACCAUCUUUGAUUAAUGAGCUAGUCAAGUAGAGGCAUACUAGUGACGUUAUGUUUGUCUAUGUAUUCACACAUGUAUUAUGUUUCCGGUUAAUACAAUUCUAGCAUGAAUAAUAAACAUUUACCAUGAUAAAAGGAAAUAAAUAAUAACUUUAUUAUUACCUCUAGGGCAUAUUUCCUUCAACUAUAACAUGAGAAGUUUAUAAGAAAGAAUUGCUAUUUGAUGCUAGGAAAAGUGAUUAAAUUUAUCAUUGAUCAAACUUAUGUACUUUGCUAGCAUUCACUCUUCAUAAAUUAUUUCUUUUAUCAUUUACUGACUCGAGGACAAGUAGGAAUUAAGCUUGGGGAUGCUGAUAUGUCUCCAACGUAUCUAUAAUUUAUGAAUUAUUCAUGCUGUUAUUUUAUCAUUCUUGGAUGUUUUACGAUCAUUUUAUAGCAAAUUUAUAUCAUUUUCUGGGACUAACCUAUUGACCCAGUGCCCAAUGCCAGUUGUUGUUUUUUGCUUGUUUUUACAUCGCAUGAAAUCAAUACCAAAUGGAGUCCAAACGCAACGAAACUCCACGGAGAUUUUUUUAUGUACUAGAAGGAAUCCAAUGUGCCAGAGCUGCACCUGGGGGGUGCCCCGAGGGGGGCACAACCCACCAGGGUGCGCCAGGGCCCCCUAGCGUGCCGAGGUGGGUUGUGCGCACCUCGGUGGCCUCCUGCACCCCCUCUUUACCCUAUAAAUUCCCAAAAAUUCCAAAAACCCUCGGGGUUAACCUAGAACAGAAUUCCUGCCGCUGCAGGGCUCCGUAGCCACCGAAAACCAAUCUAGACCCGUUCUGGCACCUUGCCGAAGGGGGGAAUCAUCUCCAGUGGCCAUCUUCAUCAUCCCAGCGGCCACCACGAUGAGGAGGGAGUAGUCCACCCUCGGGGAUGAGGGUUUGUACCAGUAGCUAUGUGUUUAAUCUCUCUCUCUCUCUCUCUCUCUCUCGUGUUCUUGAGAUGUCACGGUCUUGAUGUAUCGCGGGCUUUGUUAAUAUAGUCGGGUCAUAUGGUGUUUUCCCCUCUCUAUAUUGUUGUGAUGAAUUGAGUAUUUCCCUUUGAGAUUUCGUUUUUAUCGGAUUGGAUACUUUGAUGGAUUUGAGAACACUUGAUAUAUGCCUUGAAAUUGAAUACUCGUGGUGACAAUGGGGUAUCAUAUUGAUUCACAUGAUAUAUGUUCUUUCACUCAACUCGUGGAUUCUCGAGGUGACAUUGGGGUAAUCUAUGCAUAGGAGUUGAUGCACGUUCUUGUCUUUGUUUCCCCGGUAGAAAUCUUGGGGCACUCUUUGAAGUUCUUUAUGUUGGAUUGAGUAUUACGAAUAUGGAUUUGCUUUGGUGUUAUUUUAGUACGAACUCUAGGAUAGAUCGAACGGAAAGAAUAGCUUUGUGUUAUUUUACUACGAACUCUUGAAUAGAUCGAACGGAAAGAAUAGCUUUGAGGUGGUUCCGUACCCUACAAACAAUUUAUUCUUAUGUUCUCCGCUAGAUAGGAACUUUGGAGUGACUCUCCAUCGCACUUUGAGGGGUGUUUAUAUGAUCCAAUUAUAUUAGCAUUGUUGAGAGAUUGCACUAGCGAAAGUACGGACCCUAGGCCUCAUUUUCAAGCAUUGCAAUGCCAUUUUUGUGCCCGUUUACUAUUUGCUACCUUGCUGUUUUUAUUUCUUCGGAUUACAAAAAUAUAUUUCUACCAUCCAUAUUACACUUUUAUCACCAUCUCUUCGCCGAACUAGUGCACCUAUACAAUUUGCCAUUGUAUUGGGUGUGUUGGGGACACAAGAGAUUUCCUGUAUUUGGUUGCAGGGUCAUUUGAGAGAGACCAUCUUCAUCCUACACCUCUCAGGGAUUGAUAAAGCUUAGGUUAUCCACUUGAGGGAAAAUUACUACUGUCCUACAAAACUCUGUGCUUGGAGGCCCAACACGUGUCUACAAGAAUAAAGUUGCGUAGUAGACAUCUAGUUACUAGCCGAAGCCUUUGCGGCUGAAGAACUAACCACCCUACGAUCCACAAUGGACAAGGAUGAUGUGAUUCUCGACAAGACAUAUAAAUGCACCUCUUUCAAGCCAGCAGAUGAAAUAGUUAAAUUCCAAGUGCACCCGGCGGAUCCUAAUAAAACAGCGUCCAUCAGAGCACAGCUGGAUCCGACGGCAGACGCCGCCUUAUGUGUGUUCCUACGUGAAAAUCGGGAUAUCUUUGGCUGGCACCCCUUAGACAUGCCCGGGAUCCCACACAGACUGGCCGAACACAGCCUCAACAUAAUCAAAGGGUUCAAACCAGUCAAGCAAACGCUACGGCGAUUUUCCGAACCCAAACGACAAGCUAUGGUGGAGGAGCUAGCCAAACUGCUCGAGGACGGGUUUAUCAGAGAAAUCAAACACCCGGAUUGGUUAGCCAACUUGGUCAUGGUGCCGAAGAAGGAUCAAUCUUGGCGCCUUUGUGUCGAUUUCAAAGACCUCAAUAAGGCUUGCCCUAAAGCCCCUUUCCCAUUACCUCGCAUUGACCAGAUCAUUGACGCGACCGUGGGACACGACUCAUUGUGUUUCCUCGACGCUUACUUCGGAUACCAUCAGAUUAAAAUGUAAGAGUCUGAUCAGGCCGCAAUGGCGUUCAUCACCCCAUAUGGGCCUUUCUAUUUCAACACUAUGCCUUUUGGGCUUAAAAACGCUGAUGCCACUUACCAACACAUGAUUCAAACAUGCUUGGAAAAUAAAAUCGGCAAGAAAGUUGAAGAAUAUGUGGAUGACGUGGUCAUGAAGACUAAACACGUCGAAUCACUGGUGGACGAUCUCCGCCUCACAUUUGACAACCUCCAAACAUACGAAUCAAUCCGGAAAAAUGCGUCUUCGGUGUACCAGCCGGAAAGCUAUUAGGGUUCAUUGUCUCCCAUAGAGGAAUUGAAGCAAACGGAGCUAAAAUCCGAGACUUUCCGCAAUUGGCCACACCAACAGACUUAAAGCAGGUCCAAAAGCUAGCAGGGUGCGUGGCGGCUUUGAGCCGCUUCAGUUCCAGAUUAGGAGAAAAAGCAUUACCACUUUAUAGACUGCUUAGACGCACCGACAACUUUGAAUGAACGGAUGCGGCCACAACCAGAUUGUAGGAAAUAAAAACCUUAUUAGCAGGCAACCCAAUCCUAGCCGCCCCAAGUGUUGGCGAGCCUAUGUUGCUUUAUAUCUCCUCAACUCAACAUGUAAUGAGCGAUGUACUCGUCGUCGAGCAAGGGGAAGAGGGACUUCACCAUCCAAAAGCCAGUGUAUUACGUAUCAGAGGUCCUUACACCAUGCAAAUCCCGAUACCCUCACUACCAGAAGAUAGCUUACGUGGUCUUUAUGGCAUCCCGAAAACUCCGACACUAUUUUCAAGAGUGUUCGAUCACGGUGGCAUCCGAAGUACCACUUAACGACAUUAUAAACAACAGGGAGGCCACCGGCCGCAUAGCUAAAUGGGUAACUGAGCUCUUACCAUUUGAAAUAACAUACAAGCCACGCCGAGCUAUUAAAUCUCAGGUGCUGGCCGACUUCGUUGCCGAGUGGAUGGAAGCCGAUCUCCCUAAAGAGUACAGUUCAUACUCCAACUGCAUGUACUUCGACGACUCUAAAAUGCUAGCCGGACUGGGGGCUGGUGUCAUCUUGACAUCCCCUACGGGGGACACGGUCCGCUACAUGUUGCAAAUCAUGUAUACGGACUCCAAUAAUGCAGCUGAAUACGAGGCACUUCUACAUGGUCUCCGCAUGGCUUUCUCCAUGGGCAUACAAUGCCUCGAGGUGCGUGGUGACUCAAUCCUUGCAAUAUCUCAGAUAAAUGGAGAUUUUGAUGCAAAAGAUCCAAAAAUGGCGGCAUAUCGAAAUGUCGUAUUAAAAAUAUCGGCUAGGUUCGAGGGACUUGAAUUUCAUCACUUCGCUCGAGACAGUAACCAGGCAACGGACAUACUCGCUUGCACGGGCGCCAAGUGCGACCCUGUCCCGCCUAAUACCUUUAUGGAAAGGCUCUUCAGGCCAUCCUUGGUAUGGCAGGAUGGGAGCGGAGACGCCAGUACGGACCUGAUCAUGCCCCCGGCAGCCGAACAUAAUACAGAUAUCAUCGGGGGUCCGGAUACCGAAAUAACACCCUCUGAUCAUGAGAUCAUGGCCAUUAUUGGUCCUUGGACCGAACCCUUCCUGGCCUACCUUAAUAGGCAGGAGCUUCCCGAUGAUCAAAAUGAGGCCCGUCGCAUAGUUUGGCGUUCUAAAGCCUACAAAGUUCAUGAAGGUGAACUGUACAAGAAAAGCACUAUCGGAGUUCUCCAAAUGUGCAUCUCCAAAGAGGAGGGAAGACAACUCCUGGCUGAAAUACAUGCUGGUCUGGGCGGCCAUCAUGCCGCAGCUCGGGCCCUCGUAAGCAAAGCCUUCCGGACAGGUUUUUUCUUGCCAAUGGCCCAAGCAGUCGCACAGGCCCUUGUCCAACGUUGUGUGGGAUGUCAGCUUUUCGCCAAUCAAAGUCAUAUGCCUCCCACUGCCUUAAGAACAAUCCCCAUCACUUGGCCCUUCGCGGUCUGGGGGCUGGAUAUGGUCGGACCCUUUAAAGGGGGAAUCCACAAAAAGAAAUAUUUACUGGUUAUGGUGGAUAAAUUCACUAAGUGGAUAGAGGCCAAACCAAUAAAAACGGCCGAAGCAGGACCAGUGGUUGACUUUAUAUCCGGCGUGGUACACCGCUAUGGUGUCCUGCACAGCAUCAUCACUGAUAAUGGCUCCAAUUUUACAUUUGAUGAGGUGAAAAACUGGUGUGCUAACUUGCACAUUAAACUCGACUAUGCAUCCGACUACCACCCUCAAACAAACAGUCAGAUUGAACGGGCCAAUGGCCUGAUAAUGAGCGGCAUUAAACCCCGACUAGUGCACUCCCUAUGGGAGUCGGAUAAGCAAUGGGUUGAGGAAUUCGAUUCCGUGCUCUGGGGGCUGCGGACUACACCUAACCGAACAACCGGAUAUACACAUUUCUUCAUGGUGUACGGCAUGGACGCUGUCCUGCCCUGCGACAUUAUUCAUGACUCACCUCGAGUGCGCAUGUACGAAGAGCGAGAAGCCGAGCUUGAUCGACAGGACGACCUAGAUGGCCUCGAAGAGGAGUGCGAUAUUGCACAAGCCCGUCCCGCAUUUUAUCAACAACAGGCCAGGCGAUACCAAAGCAGAGAAGUGCGGGCCAAGACAUAUAACAUUGGCGACCUCAUCUUGCGUCUCCUAGAGAAGAAGAAGGAUAAGCUCAAACCAAGAUGGGAGGGCCCCUUCAUCAUAGAUGAAGUUCUCAUGGGAGGAGCCUAUCGCCUUUGUAAUGCAUCGGAUAAUCACCUUGAGCCGAAUCCAUGGAACGCUGCUCGGCUCCAGCGAUUCUACAGAUAGUUCGGUAGCACCUUUUUAGUUUGACUAGGUUCCUUUUUCUCCUCUCUUUUUUUACUUUUUCCUUUUUAUAUCCAAGGGUAUGUUCGGAUCUACUUAACUGUUAGGGGUACACAUCUUUAAAUCUAUACACCCCGCUAUAAUUGGGGCCUUCUUUGAUGAAGCUUAUUAUUAAAAGCUUGUGGCUUACAUUGUUUACGUCAUUUGUUCUAUACACUUUUUUGCCAUUAUAUGCACCUCUAUGACUUAAGUUUUUGCCAAGCUUGGUUGCCUUGCUCCUGUCUUUAUACCCUACGCUCCCUAUUGUUCGGCUAGGGUGUAAAGGGAGCACCUCAGCAAUUGUUACAACCGGGUAAUCCGGAUCUGUACCUCAGAUGGGUGAAGCCAAAAGCUAGCGCUCUUAAGGGAAUAAUUGGUCGGCAAGCAACGACAGAUUAUUUACGUUUAUGUAAUUCUUCUUACAAAUAAGGGAUAGGCUACCCGUAGUUCUAUCUUUUCGAUCAAAGCCUGGGCAUGCAUAAUUAGGCAUGCCGACCCAAGGAAAGGAACCUUAACGGAACUAUUUUCCCUGGAAGAUGUUUUUUACGUUAAAUAGUAAUAUAAUAUAACUCCCCGAACAAAUUUUGUCUGUUUGAGCAAUAUGACCGGAUUGGCUGGUUUCCGGACAUAAUGAAUGUUUAUUACAUUCCAACAUGGUCUCCGGAAACACUCCAACUUCUUGGUUCGCAGGUUGAAGCCAAAGGCCUGCGAUGACAAAUUUUGACAAGUUUGGUUGGAGAUAAGUUUGAUGAUAAAGUACAUUGAUACAUUGAAUCGAACGCCUACUCUUUAUCUAUGUCAUCUAUAAGACUGUUUAAGCUAUAGUCUUCUUGCAAAUAUUUUGCGGCAAUCAUCACUUGGUCAUAUACCAAGUUCACGAGAAUCUUUUUUCCGUCCGGUCCCUGAGGUCCAACUCGGGCCAUACGAUUCGGAUCGAACCCGGUGUAGCGCGUUUUCACCAUCGCCCAUGCCUCUCGUGCACCUUCCUGGCAUGUUGACGCCUUCCAUAGCUCCAAACGGCGUCGGGCACCUUUGAACAGGUUCGCCAACCCCUCCAUGCUUUCUGGAGGGACAUCGGAUGGCCAUAAGGCUUUGGCCAUACUUCUCAUGGCUUUCCAGGCCCGCUCAUGCACUACGGACAGCUCUUUUAGAAUGUCGCCUCAGAAUCUGGAUACUUCUCAUGACGCCCGAUCAACAGACCUGCAAGAACAACAUUAUAACACUCCAAAUUAUGGGAUAAUAUUAGUCCCUUGGAUGGUUCAAAUGUCAUACCGAAUAUGCCACCUUUCAACUUUUUAUUCUCUUUUUGUGUGUUUGACAAUUGAGCCUUUAAGCUCUUUAUCUCUUCGGCUUGCUUAUCCUUUUCCUCCUCCAGUUUGUUCUUUUGAUCAAUGGUCAUUGUGAUCUUCUUCAUUUCCUCUAGCUCUGUGGUGGCGGCAUUUAGCUUUGUCCAUCUCGUUUCAAGCUCCUGGGACAGUGCGUUGUUCUUCUCUUUGAGAACCUGCGGUCAUAAUGAUCCUUAAAUCGGUUGGUCUAAACCGCUUCAAGUCUCGGGGGAUACUGGCAUAUAUCUAUUAAAUUUACACAAAACAUUACAUGCAUAUCUUUUGGAAACAGGUGAGCAACUCCAGCAAGUCUAUCCUGGGUAGCUCGGAUAUAUGCAUCCACAGUGCUGAGGGCAGUAAAUUCCUGCUCGGUAAAAACUAGAGCACGCAUGGUCUCUUUCAGUCGUGGGUGGCUCAUCACGCUCUCCACUUCGGAAUUUGUGACGGAUAUGUCAUUCGAGUCCUCAUGAGGUGGAUGAGUUGGCGCUGCAUCCGUAUUGGCUCUUGUCUUGGUUGAUGAGCCCGGUGCCGGAUUGGCUGAUGAUCGGCUAGCUGGGACUUUACACACGGUUCACCGUGUGCUCCUCCGGAAAUAAGAUGGGAGGAGAAGUAUGACAAUUUGGUCUUAUGCCUAGGCACAUGUUAAAAGUUGUAGCUCUUUGAUGAAGGAGGGGGCCCGACGGCGCUCCUGGUUUCAUUUCGUUUUGAAGGCUCACCCUCCGUAGAUGCUACUCUCCUAGAGGCCCCCUCGAUGGAGUGUAGCUCGUUGAGCACCGAUCCUAUGAAGCACGAUUCAAUGUCAUGGGUGAGACACAAGUGGGUGGCUCCUUUUUUGUGGCUCCUUUUUUGAGGAUGAUUUCCGAGUACUUACCUUGGAGAAAGGGAAAAUGCCGGGGUAGUCGGCCGUAAUAGCCACUUCCGAGCCAUCAAGCCUUGCUUGAUAAAAGACUCCAUCAUCAAACUCUAUAAAUAUAUACGGAUCCUCGCGAAAUCUAGGGUCCUCGUUGCGAGCAUAGUCCUCUGGUUGUGGGGAGGGACAAUGAAUAUUUUCGACCACCUUCCUCCAUGUCUAUUUCAAGAUGACAAGAACAAUUUGAUGAGCACACCUCAAUAAUGAGGUAGGACAAUGUUGAUAAACAAAAACUUACCCAUUCAAUGGGGUUAUACAUGGAGAAACCUUCCCGACAAUUUAAACGGAUGAAUUCUUCUUUCUCCCCUUAUAAAGAUCUACAAGAAUGGCCGCCAGAGCGGCUGGGGUAUCCGGGCCCUCAUGCUUAUAACGAGAUGCGUCAUCCUUUCCAUUGUAACACCAUAAAGGGGUCACUCUAGACUGAAGGGGCUGGAUACAUCGCUUUAUCGCGAUGGCCAUGACUACGAUUAUCAAGAGUUCGGAAUGGGAGAGUAACCUGACCUUGCUAACUAACCUAUUUACUUCCGCACUAUCUUCUUGCUUGGGGCUCCGGGGCCGCCAAUUGAAAUGUUUCCUCUGAUCCCUUCUUGGGAGUUCCGACUGGGUCCGGAAGGGUCGAACUGGGUCCGGAAGGGGAACGUCCUCAACAUAAAACCAUUCUGAAGUCCAUUCUUCUGAUCCCUUCUUGGGAGUUCCGACGAGGUAACCUGAUCCGGCUAUGCACCAUACUUCGGUGCUGCCCACUUCAAAUAUAGAACCCCCUUGAUGACAAGGGACGAGGCAAAAGAAAUUUCUCCACAGUUUAAAAUGAGCCUCGCAGCCUAAAACUGUUCGCAGAGAGCGACAAAACCUGAUAUGUGCAGAAUAGAACCUGGUGUGAGGUUGUGCAGUUGGAUCCUAUAGAAUUCCAAUAGACCUUUGAGGAAUGGGUGGAUCGUGAAUCCUAAGCCCCUCAAAGUAAACGAGAUGGAGCACACCCUCUCCUCCUUGUUGGGGUUGGGAAAAUUCUAUGCUAGUACAUCAUUGCCAAUCGAGGCCAAUCCUACCUGCAUGAGGACUAGAUCUGUGGGAGGGAGACAUCCCUGCGUUUGAAGUCGAUUCAGUUGGAGGUGACACACUGAGCAGCUUCGCCAAUCACCCGCUUGAGGGACAUUAGGCGCGAGGAAGAGCUAGGAGCGCUCACCAUGUUUUGAAGUUUUUUCCUGGUUUGCUCUUAUGCUCCUUGCGCAAUAUGGGAUGGCAUUUGGGGAUCUAACCCCCUUAUGUAAAUGCCGCCCUUGCAUGGUAAGGGGCUUAUUUGUAAAAAAAUAUGGACCAUUCGCAUUCGCCUGGCGCGUGGAAAUCGAGGCGAUGACAAGUAGGAAUGUAAAGGCAGAACAUGAAGUUCAAAGCCGGACUGUCGUCAAUCCGGAAUAUGGUGAGGAACCUGCCUUGCAAAGCUAGAUACUACCUCGCCAUUGAAGGCAAGUUCGGGGGCUACUGAGGGAGUCCUGGAUUCGAGGGUCCUCAGGUGUCCGGCCUAUUCGAUAUGGGCCGGGCUGAUGGGUCGUGAAGACGAAGGAGAAGACCGCCUCCCGCGUCCAGGUAGGACUCCUAUGUGCGUAGAACGACAAGUUUGGUGUCUGGGUGUAAUUCUCUUUGCCUCAGAACCAACUUUGUAUAACCCUAGGUCUCUCUGGUGUGUAUAUAAACCGGAGGGGUUAGUCCACACAGGGCAUCAGAAUAAUCAUAGGCUAGACAGCUAGGGUUUGGCCAUUACGAUCUCGAGGUAGAUCAACUCUCGUAACCCCUAUACUCAUCGAAUACAAUCAAGAAGGACAUAGGGUUUUACCUCCUUCGAGAGGGCCCGAACCUGGGUGAACACCGUGUCUCAUUGUACCUUGUUACCAUUGAUCCUUAGACUCACAGCUUGGGCCACCCUACCCGAGAACUGCCGGUUUUGACACUAACAGGUAUCCCUAGCCCACCAGGGUUCAAGUCAUGAUACUCGCAUUUGUCAUGGAUUUAUUUCAGGAUUUCCGGUGAUCUCCAGGUCAUUCCGUGCUCGACCCUGCACAGAUUGCACAUGCUCGUCAGAUAGUACAACACCAUAGGAUCCACAUCGCGGUUUCCCAGCAUUCCAAUUCUAUGGUUUCGUCGAUUUUUCCUACUUUAUGUGGGAUCAAGAAAUAGCAUGUACAGGGGCCUUCGCACCCAACACACACAGUAGUAUAGCAUGUUCUUUCACAUGUUUACCAUUAAUCGUUUGGUUCGAUUGAUCACAAGCCCAUGUUGCUGAACAGCAAAGCGACUAAACACGCAACAAAUCACCAAACUCCAAUUUAUUAUUAUACACCAAAUGUGCACACAAGUUUAACCGAAGAACGAUACUAAAAACUCAACCGUCUGAUAGGUGGAUCAUCAAAGGAGAAUCAACGCAUCCAGAAGUAAGGCCAACAUAGGAGAGGUGCACCAUGCGAGAGACAUAGCCAGUCGAGGAAAUUCAGCAAGUGAUCCUCAGAAGAACACCCGGACAACGCCACCCCCACGCUGCAUGGUAGGCUUCACAUGCCACCUACUCCAUGACUUUUGCUCCUAGCGUCAACACCCUUUGAUUUCCCUCCUUUUAU